AAAAAACAACCUUUCGGUUAUCAAAUUUAACUCAAUAAAUCAUAACAUCUCCAUCACCCAGUCUAUAAGAUAAACAUAUUAUCUCAUAUCUUAACAUCAAAACAAUAUUUCAUUUAUAGAUAUUCAAAUGACCCCUUUUACCAAACCAUAUUAUACCACUUUUCAUGCUACCAAAGUGAGUUAAUUAAUAAGCCGAAUAUAUACCCUACUUACCACUUCUCAUUGCCAAAUCAUAUAACCAACAUCACAACAUAUUUACCAUAAAUCAUACCUCUCAAUUAAGCUUAUAACAUGACCAAAUAUAAUUACCAACAUUUGCAUCAUGAACAAGCCAUUUUCGCGUGGCUAUAUACAUAUACAAAUUUCAAAAAAUCAAAUAUAUCAAAACUAGCCUAUACAUGCCACAUAACCAAAUCUCAAAGCGUUUAUUUACCGAAAUGAAUACUGGAUAGUGUGAUGAGAUCUCCCAAGACUUCCAACCCGAGCAAGUCUCCGAAAUUCUAUAACAUAGGAAAAACACACAGAGUAAGCUUUGAAAGCUUAGUAAGCCAUAAGCAAAUAAAUCAUUCCAAUAAUGUUUAUAAUUCAAUUUAACUAAGCUAAAUUUAACAAAUCUCAACCACAUAUACAUUCAUCAUAAUCGUAAUUUUAAACCACAUUAGGUAACUUCACUAGACUUAAUUAUGGAUGGACAUAUAAACCGUGUUUUCAAAUUUAUAUAUCUACCAUUAGCUCAUUCGUAGGAUUAAGCUUCCACAAUUACAUUACAUACCAACCGAAUCAUGGUCAUUUAUUACAGUUUAUUAGUAAAAAUAUAUCAAUUUCUUUUUAUACACUUCCAAGCCCGAAUAACCAUAACCAUGUUCCAUGUUUCAUAAUUCUCAUGUCCGAAACAUAGAACCAUUAUUUCAUAUAACAAGCAUAUAUAACACAUCAUUCAUUAUCAUAUAUUUCAUAUAUAUCAUCAUUUUAAUCAUACUCACAUUUCAUAUCAAAAUUUCAUAUACAAAUCAUUUUUACCUAAAUCAUAUAUGGAAAAACACAAUUACAAUUCUACAUUUCUUAUAUGAUUAAUUUUUUCAUAGUUCACUUGCUAAUAUUCACAUCUCAUUUUAACAGAAAUUAUAUAACGAAUAAUCAUAAUCAUACUCACUUUCAUUGCUCAAAUUCAUAUUCAUCACAAACAUACCUGAUUUGGAUGCACAUUCAUAUACUCAUUUACUUCUCGAAAUGCCCGUUGAAUCGUUCAGAAUCAAAUAGGAUACCUGGAUAGCUAAAAAAAACUCGUACAAUGCCAACGUCCCAGACGUGGUCUUACAUGUAAUCAAUAUCGAUGCCACUGUCCCAGACAGGGUCUUACACGAAAUCAAAUAUAAUGUCGAUGUCCCAGACAUGGUCUUAUACAUAAAUCUCAAAUCGAUGCCAACGUCCCAGACGUGGUCUUACACGAUAACACAUAUCGAAAUCCUAUGUCAUGACAUAUGUAUCCUAACUAUUCAUAUGGUUCGUACGGGGCUUUUUGGACGUCCUAAUUCUAUCGAUUCAAGCUCGUAACUAGUUCUCCAACUCUAAAUUCAAUUCGGCAUAUACACAUAUAUUUAUUAAUGAUCAAUUCAGCACAUAUAACAUAUAUACAUUCAAAUUUAACAGCAUUUAUUUACUUAUGAACUUACCUCGUACGGACGUGAACGAACCGGAACGACUAAUCGAUAACUUCCGAUUUUUCCCGAUCCAAAUCCGAUUUCCAUUUUUUUUCCAAUCUAAUUAAUAUCAAAAUUAACUUAAUUAUUCAACAUUUCAUUAAUUUUCAUUCAAUAACAUAUAAAUGGAAAUUUGCAUUUUAGCCCCUAACAUUUUGCAUUUUUUCAAUUUAGUCCUUAUUUCAAAAUAACAUAAAAUACACGAAAUUUCACUAAAUCCUUGUUAGGCCGAAUUCUACCCAUACUACUAGCAGCCCAUAUUUUUAGUUUAUUCACACAUUUAACCUUGAAUUUUACACCUUUCUCAAUUUAAUCCUUAAUACACAUUUUUAUCAAAAAUCACUUAAUUAAACAUAAUAAUCUAUCAACAAAAGUUUAUAUUUCAUCAUCAAACUACAAAAAAAUCAAGCUAACAUCAAUGGCAAAUUUCAAAAUCAUCACCAAUUCACAAAUUGAAGCAUGGGCUUUAAAGAACACAAAGCAAUGAUAUCAAAAACGUAAAAAUUAUCAAAAAUCGAAUAAAAACUAACCUUGAAUCAAGCUUCAAAAAUGGCCGAACCUAGCUUAGGUUUUUUCUUUUUUUUUUCUUUAGUUUCGGUCAAAAUAAGAUGAGGAUAUGGCUUUUAAAUUUGUUUGUCUUUUAUAAUAAUAACUUUAUAAUAUAAUAUAUUAUUAUAACCUUUAUAAAUAAUAUAAAAACUAUAUAUUAUAAACAUAAUGCCAUCCACUAUCUUAAUUAAUGGCCUAAUUUCCUAUUAAGGACUUCACAUUAUAAAGACAUUAGCAAGUUAGCACUUUACACAUUAAGUAGUCAAUUUCACAUUUUACGCGAUUAAGCCCUUUUCUCAAAUUAAGCACACAAACAAUAAAAUUAAUUCACGAAACUUUCACAUAUGUUAAUUCAUGCAUAAUAAACACAGAAAAUAAUAUUAAGAUAUAUAUUUUAUUUUAUUUUUUUGGACUCAAAUUUGUGGUCUCGAAACCACUGUUCCAAUUAGGGUCAAAAAUCGGGUUGUUACAUAAUCCUUCUAUGGGGGAUUAGUGAGUGAAGGUAUAAUCUAUUAACUAUUUUGUAGGGUUACUAAACGAAUCAGCUGUUUGGGAAAGGAAGAACUUAAAACCCUAGGCCUAACAACCCUAGGAAGUCAUCAAGGUGGGAAUUAACCCAAAAUUGGUAUGACCUAUCUAUGAACACCUUCACCCCAAAUUGAUCUGGAUUGUGAAGUUUGAAGAUAAGUAGUUCUUGUAGACUCAUUAUUCGAGUGGAAGAUCGAAACAUCCUGCUGGGAUUGUGACUAGUUGAUCGAAAAGGAACCUGAAGUGAAAGUUGAUGGGAAAUAUCGAAGCAAGCUAAUCUCCCAUAAUCAGAUUUAAUUUUUUCUAUCUUUUGAUCUCUUGAAUUUUAUUUCUUUAUGUUAUUUUCUUUUAUUAUUAUAAAAUGCAUAAAAAACUCCCUUUAAUUUACUUUCGUACUACAACUUAGUUAAAGUAAUAAUUAGUUCUUUUUGUGUUUAGUUUAGAUUUGAUCUAGCACUCACCUCCGUUUGAUACGAUUCUCAGAGUACUCACCUACUCUGUUGUAACUAUAUUACAACUAGACUCGUAUACUUGUGGAUACCGCCUCACAUAUCUAUAUCUUUUACUGCAGUGUUUACACUCUAGGCGUUAGUACAUCCAUAGGCGGGUAAUAGUCAGGGGUAUUUGGUUACUGGGCCUACGACACACCCACACGACAUUCUGUCAGUGCCUUCGAUUUUAUCUUUGGCACGCUGAUGUUCAACACUAGUAACACUUAGACGAGCACACCAUCAAGUUACUGGGGUGGGUCAAACAAAAGUGAUUUUUUGGUUGACAUCAGAUUUACAAGAAUGAAUAAUCUACUUUCGAAAACCUCCACCGGUGAGGGUACAUCCAAACCUAGACUUGCAAUCGAGGUUGAUAACAAAGAGGGAGAAGAGAACGAAGAGGUCGAAGAGGAAGAAGAAAUAGAUAAUGACCCAAUAAUAGAGCAGAGGCACGAUGGUGUAGAAAUUACAAUAAUUUUAGGAUCAGAUCCCAUUACUAUUGAACCAGAGGACAGUGGAUCUGACGGUAAAGCUGCAGAUAUUGCUCGAUGGGAUGACCCAGGUUACAUGGCAUACCAAUCGCCACCCUACAUGCGAACCCUUGAUCUUGUUGCUGAAAGGGGUUUAGAAUACCCAGACCUCACUCAUAGGAAACCAAGGCAUGUGUCUUCAUCUACAAAUUUCGACCAUUUAGAGGUUGAGAUGGAGUUUUGACCACCUCUGGACAUACUAAUGUCCAAAGUGUGAAUAUUGCAGUAAAAGAUAUAGAUCUAUGAGGCGGCAUCUGCAGGUAUACAGGUCUAGUUGUAAUAUAGUUACAACAGAGUAGGUGAGUACUCUGAGAAUUGUACCCAAGGGAGGCAAGUGCUAGAUCAAUUUUAACCUAGACACCGUAAGAUCGAAUUAGUAACUUAAUUUAAUUAUAGUAUGGAAGUAAAAUAGAAUGAUUUUUUAAGGUUUUUUAUAGUAAUAAAAUAAAAUAACAUAAAGAAAUAAGAUUUAAGAGAUUAAAUAAUAGAAUAAAUCAAAUUUGAUUAUAGGUGAUUAGCUCACUUUGGUAAUCCUUAUUAACUGUCAGUUUGGGUUCCUCGUCGAUCAACUAGUCACUACCCAGUAGGAUCUUUUGAUCUUCCAACCUCAAAGUCCACACCAUUUUGGGGUGAAGGUGUUCAUGGGUAGGCCAUACCAAAUUUGGGUUAAUUCCCACCUUGAUGAUUUCCUAGGGUUGUCAAGCCUAAGGUUUAGGUUCUUCUAUUCCCAAAUAGCUGAUCCGUUGAGUAACCCUAUAAAAUAGUUAACAAAUCAUACCUCCACUCACUAAUCCCCCAAAGAAGGAUUAGUUCCUCAUGGUUUUCAUAAAUAAUAUGGAAUUGAUGUAAAGAGAAAACAUGAUAAAUGAUUGAAGUGUAGAGUUUAAGAAAAUGCCUGAUUUGUAUUAAGAAUGAGAGAAAACAUGAUAAAUGAUUGAAGUGUAGAGUUUAAGAAAAUGCCUGAUUUGUAUUAAGAAUGAAGUGAAUCCACAAGUUUGAUUGUCCCUACAAACCAAAUCUCCUGAAAUAAACAAAAUAAAUGGAAAAUAAACCUAAAACCUAAGAAUAAAGAACAACUAAACUAAAUUUAAAAGAAAAAUUCUAAGCUAAGUAAUUGGUGUUUCUUACAUGUGAUAAAUGAGCUAUUUAUUGAUUUCAGUUGGUCGUCAUCCUUAACUCUAGGUUAGCUAACGUUUCUGAGCUUUAAGUUUGAUUGUGUGGGCCAAAACGCCCUUUGGCUUGUGUUUAAUUCUCAUUCAAAGUCGAUAUCGUGACACACCAGGACCUGUGUCUGAAAUAGGAGUCAACAUACUCCUCUUUGGAUAUCUUUAGGGGUAUGUCGCGACACCCUUAGGCUAUGUCGCAACAUCGAUAGCAGUAUCAUGAUUUCUCCAUUUUGCUCCUUAUGUUGCGAUAUUGAGCAUUCCGUGUUAUGACAUAGUGACCAAUAUCAAUUUAGUACGCCUUCUAAUGAUCUCCUACACACUUACAAAGGUCAUUAGCUCACCCUUAUGUCUCAUUUGACCCCUAAGGUCAAUAAAAGACUCAAUUUUCACAUUUUAUUAACUUAAAGAAAACUUAUGAAAACAUACCUAAAACCUAAUGGAAAUGCGUACUUUCAAGCUCCUAAAGUGCAAAAAUUAGUUUAAUCUGUUACACCAAAUUACAACAGAUCAAGUUUGAAUCUAAAGAUUCUUUUGCAGCUGUCGUCAAGCAGUACCACAUACAACUUGGCGUCAACUUCACCCUUACAUGCUCCUGAUCCGUGAAAUAUGAGGAAGUGCGCAACACAUGGAACAAGAUGUCCAUGGAAAAUCAUGGCAUUUGUGAGGAAAAAAUCGACAUUCUAGACGAUUAGGGAGUGUAUCGCGCCACAUACAUGUGUUGUAGUUGGUAUGUAUCAUGGCUAACAAUAUCAAUCAAAUUUUGACCUUUUUUUUUUCUGACAUUCUAUUACGUAUGGUGACCCAAUUUAUUGUUUCUUAGGCAUGUCAAACGAUCAUCUGAAAUUGGAUUCGGAUAUGAUAUCUAACUUUAUAUAACUCAUGGUUAAAAUAAGACCUAGGAUUUCGGUCCCUGUUAUUGCCCACAUCCAUAGUGAGUUCGAUUACACUGUGUCCUACCACAAGGCAUAGUUGGCAAAGAAAAAGGCAUUGGAGAAGAAGCAUAGUGGAUGGGAGAAAUCGUACAAUGAAUUUUGACAAUGGUGUUAGGUAUUGGAGUGGUACGUACCAUGUUCCGUAACCAAGCUACAAAAGGAGUUGUGUAUUACGACGAUUGCUUAGUCCUUGAAAAAAGAGUUUUCCAUUGUUUUUUUUACUUAAAAGGAACUUUUUGAAAACAAGUAUUCUCAAUAAGUUUUAAUUAUGUUUUCUAAAGUUCCUUUUAAGUUCAUAAAAUGUGCAAAUCGAGUCUUUUAUUGACAUUAGGUGUCAAAUAAGGCCUAAGGGUAAGUUGUUGAACUUUAUAAGUGUGCAGGAAACCAUUAGAAGGCAUAAUAAACUGAUACUAGUCACUAUGUUGCAACACGAGUGCUCAAUGUCGCAACAUAAGGAGCAGAAUGGAGAAUUCAUGAGAUUUCCUUCGAUGUCGCAACACAGACUAGUGGUGUCACGACAUACCCUUAAAAAAAUCCUUUUAUUUUACUUUCGUAUUAUAACUUAGUUAAAGUACUAAUUAGAUCUUUUUGUGUUUAGUUUAGAAUCGAUCUAGCACUCGCCUCCCUUGGGUACAAUCCUCGGAGAACUCACCUACUCUGUAUAACUAUAUUACAACUAGACCCAUAUACUUGCGGAUAUCACCUCUCAUAUCUAUAUUUUUUACUGCAAUAUUCACACUCUGGACGUUAGUGCGUUCGGAGGUGGUCAAGUUGUUAACGUCGUUGCCGGGGAGGCAACGUCACUAGUUUGAUUUUAAUUUUUGCAUUCAAAAGUAAUAAUUAGGAAUUUUUUAAGUUGUAGAUAAAGUCUUUAAUUUAUCUAACUAACUAACUUUACUAUUACUCAUUUGUUUUUCUUAGGAUGAUCUUUGUGCACCUCCCAAAUCAGAAUUACAACUAUAAUAACUAAAGGAGAUUGGUCAACAGGAGAAUGGAUUAUUUCGAUGAUAUGUGUUCAGAUGAAGACUGAGAUUACGAUGCUGAAAUUUACAAGUAAGGAGUCUAUGAGGAUUGGGAGAUAUAGGAAAACCAAUGAUUAUUAAUGCUUGAAUUCAGUCAACCCUAAGGAGAAACCUUAGUCCUUUCCCAAGACGAUAAAAACCAUAUUGGUAUGCCAUCAAAAAGGCACCAAGAUGCGUCGAAUCUAGAGUUGAGAAAAUAAGAUAAUGGCAUCAGAGAUACUCGGAAGGGAAAGGAACUCCUAAACCAUUCGUCUCUACAGACAGAAGAAUAUCCAGAAUUGGUGAACGAAACAAAAAUAGAGGAAGGUGAUCUGCCGAAAUUUGGUGUAGUAGGUUAAACUAGUUUUCACACUUAAGGAGCCUGAAUAAAAGCAUUUUCAUUACAUUUUAGUUAAGGUUUUUAGUUUUACUUUCAUUCACUAAAAUGUGCAAAUUGAGUCUUUUACUGACUCUAAGGGUCGAAUGAGGACUAAGGGAGAGCUAACGCACUUUGUGAGUGUGCAGGAGAACAUUAAAAGACAUUUUAGGACGAUACUGGACGCUAUGUCACAACACGGGAGGACCAACAUUGUUGCGUGUAAAUAUAAUGUGUAAGUGUGCAAGCAUACACGUUGAAUCCAGUAAUAAAAUGAUAAGUAAGAUCAUCUCCACAAGGAUUGGAUAGGAUUAACUUGGUUAAGUUGCUGUUAUGAAGUUUGUGAAUAACGCUAAGGUAAAACAAUGACAAAAAUGCAAUGGUAAUCAAAGUAAUGAUGAUGUGUGCAAUAUGUAAACAAAAAAAUGUUUAAAAAUAUGCUAUGGAAAAGAUACCAGGACAAAAGUGAGAGGGUCUAUGCUGUUGAAUGGAAAAAUUGGGAUUACUAGGAAUCUUCCCUUAUAAACCAUUAAUGCCUCGACAAAUUCUUAAUCUGCUUACUACUCAAAAUGGAUAUAAAAUGCUCUGCUUCUUUUGAGAGCAAGACCUAAGGAUACCUCACCUAAGGAAAUAUAUGUCUAUAGACCUAAAAUGUAAUUCCCAGUACUGAUUACUUCUCACUUUAUAUGAGCAAUGCUCUAUGUCUAGAUAUUGCUAUGGGGAUUCUGUCAAACACCCACUCAUAUCAAUCAAUUGUGGUCCAACUAAUCUAACCUUUUCAAAAUUAGAUUAUGUUUAUAAACACACUAUGCAUUCAUCUAUGUUUAGAGACUGUAUACAUACAAUUCAAAAGAACAAAUUGAAUGAAAUAGUAAAAUAGAUCAGAUACAACCUCCAACAUUAAUGGAAAAUUAAAGUAUCAUUGAGUAAUCCCAACUUGAUGAGAUUUAACUCAUGGGUUGGUUAAUAAAUUAGAAUUCAAACUAUCAUUUAACAUCUCUAAUAAUUAAUUUCACAAAGAAGCAAUUUAAGAAAGUAAAGAAAGAACAUCGGGAAGCUUUCACUGAUCCAGCCUCAACUCUGGUGGCGUAAUGUCUUGCAAAGACCAAGUUGAGUGCCUUCUUCUUCUCCCUCGUGUUCUGCUUUGCUGCGAAACCUUUACUACUGCCCUUUUUUUUUCUCCUCGGGAUCCUUCCCCUAGAAAAUACUCUCCAAAAGCCUCUCCCCUUUUCUCGUUUUAUAUUUUUGUUUUUCUGGUAAGUUUCUCAAUCCAUGCUUUUUCACUCCCUUUUUCCAAGUAGAUUUUCUGGUAAAAAUACAACUAGGGCUAGUACACGUUGAUUGUUGACUCAGCAUCUUACUAGCAUUGCCAUGGCAUUAGUGCUGACAAACUAACCAACCUUUUGCCACGACAAAACUUCACUUCAUUACUUCCUUUUUCUCAUUCUUUCCACCAACAAGUAAAAGUAACAUAUAAUAACAUUUAAGCUCAGUCUAAGCUCCAUGAUGUAAUGUUCUAAAAAUAUAUUAAUAUAAUAUCCUAAAAUGCAACUAAAGACUUGAAAUAUAACUCUUUUCAAGAGUUAUUACACCCCCAAACUUGAAUUAUUACUUACCCUCUAGCAAAAAAUGCAAGAGUGCAUGGAUGCAGUAAUUGCCAUAGCAACAUAAUUACAAAUGUAUUGCUAAACCGUAUAGAGCAUAUUUUUGUAUUUUAGUUUUCAGCAACCUUCUGCGUCUAAAAUUUUUUUCAAGCUUCAUAAGCUUAUUUAGCAAAGCCAGUGUAGAAAAUAUUACCCUAAAAAUAAAAAUUCUAAGUCUUUAUGCAAUUUUGACUAUAUGAAGUGUCUCCUAAAUUACAUAGUUCAUCUUUUAACCGAAUUUAGUUUUCUUUUGAAACUUGGCAUCUUGCAUACUUUAAUAAGUAUAUAUCUAUUUAUUAUAAAAUUUUCAACUAGGGGAUUCAUCUCAUCAUAUGGUUUUUUUACUCAACAAUCACAGUGGAGCGUACAUCAAAUUGUCGACUACUCAAUCAUGUCAUGAUUUUAAUGGGAUUUACUCAUGAAGGCAAUGCUUUUAACUUAUAAGAUGAAUGGAGCAAACAACUACCUCCUUAGCUACUUAGCCUAUUACUACAGUGGAGUGCCCCUAAAUGAUUUAUUAUUAUUAUUUUUUACACACUCUUACUUAAACCUGCUUUUCUAAUCAACAACACAAUAAAGCAAACAAAAUGUUGCUGACCUAUUCGACAGUUUCAAGCAUUGGAGUGUUGGAGUGUUUCAUGGAAUUUCUUUUAUUUUUCUCUUAAUUUUACAUAAAUUUUGCCAUUUUAUUUGUUAUUGAGUAUUGCCAUUUUAUUGAAUUUAGCUUCAAGAAUCUCUAAUUUUAUUAAAAGAAACUUACUAUAGACCAAUUACAAUAGGAGUUAGGGUAUUCUAUUUUUAAAGGUCAAUUUUCAAGCAACUAUCCUAAGCUAAAAUCACCUAAUCCACUAUCACAAUUUUCUAGAUUUAUUGAAGAAUUAAUCUCAUCAUCAAACAUCACAGACAAACAUAUACUCAUUAUAGUCUAAACAGUCCUUGGCAUUUAUAUGUCAUGGUAGAAUGAAUGAAAAAAUGAACAAAAAAAAAACUAAAAUGGACAUACUUAACUAAAUAUCUAAUGCAUCCUACAUGCACAACACACCCCCAAACCUAAGGGAUGCAUUGUCUGCAAUGCAUUAACAGACAAGAAUCAAAAAAGAAAAAACAUAUAUAUAUACAUAAAAUGAUAUGACAAAAAUUAUGAAUGCAUGAUGUAAUAAAAUAAAAAGGCAAACAAAUGGUAAAAAAAUUUGACUAAAUGGUUGGAUCUAAGUUUACAUUGUGACUUUAAUUUGUGAGGGUGGAAUUGCGUGCAGCAUGCUUGUACUACAGCUUUUGUUUCAAUACAUUCAGUGGAACUUCCUCCUCCUCAUAACCAAAUUUGGUGAGAUCAUCAAUGAGCUGAUUGAUCUCCUGAUCUUGUGUAGACACAGAUUCAGUCAAUGGAGGUGGGAUAGUAGCAGUGUUAUCCAUUGGUGGUGCAGGAGUUGGAGUUGCUUUUACUCCUUCCUCAUUAUCAGUCUCAAUACUGACUAAUUUAGUCUUGUCUUCUUCUACAGGUUCCUCUACUUAUUGUCUUUCAGUAGCAGGGUGUGUGGGGAUAGGGUUUGUCGCACUGGCAUCUACUUUAUCUUCCCCUUCCCCUUCCCCUUCCCCUUCCCCUUCCUCUUCAUUUGCAUGUAGUUCCUUGGGAAAGUUCAUUGGGAAUAGGUUUGGUGAAGUUCUUUUGAAGGGACCUCUUUAUGGUAGCUUCUCUCUUUUCCAUAUAGGACCAGAAUAUGGCCAUUUGUUCUUGUGCCCGUGCCAAGUCUAUAGCAAUGCUCAGUUGCUAAGUCUCAAAUAGAUUGAGCUGCUUGUGCAACUUAUCAUAGGAUCUGAGCACUUGCUACUUAAAGAUGCUAUUAGUAGUAGAGUGUGGUGCCAUGGCACAAAUUGGGGUAGAAGAGGUAGUGGCAGAACUAGGAGGUUGGUGCUGCAACAAAUCCUUCCAUGAAAUCUUCGCUACAAUUUGCUUUAUAAUGGCCCCUUUAUUUGGGGUGACAUAUUCAUUUGCUUGGAUAGAGACAUUCACAGGCUAGCACAACGCGAUAAUGAGAAGGGAAAAUUAAGGCUCCCUGCAUCCUUCUAGGCAUACCGGUGGACUUCUUUGAAUAUGAUUUGUCCCACAUUUAUAUUCCUUCCUUUUAUUAUGGACUAGGACAGCAACAAUCGCUCCUUAUAAAUCGUGGAGUUAUGAGUUGAAUAAAUUAGGCAUGUCUUAAGGAAGUGGUACAAAACCCUACAGUUGGGUUUCAAAGAAGCCCUCUCCACGGUGUAACAGUCCUUUUUUGACACUGUCCAUUUAGUACCUUCUAUACACUAGUCUUGAAGAACUUGAGUCAAACCCUCAGCAAUGAUUGUAGCAGCAAACUGGUUAUGCUCCUCUUGAACAGCGUGGAGGAGAAGAAGAAGAGGGAUAAUGAGGAGUUCAUAGACUUUCUCAAGAUGUUUAAAGCCUUGAAUAUAAACCUCCCCUUAUUAGAACUCCUCGAGAAAAUGCCUAAAUAUGCCAAGUUCCUUAGUGAAGUUAUGUCUCAUCGGAGAAAAAUAGAGAAAAGAGAGCAAAUUCCACUUAAUGAAGAAUGUAGUGUGGUAGUGUCUAGAAGAGUUCCUCCCAAUCUAAAGGAUCUCGGUAGCUUUACCAUUCCCAUUAAGAUAGGUGGAGUGAGUUUCAAGAAGGCCCUAUGUGACCUUGGAGCCAGUAUUAACCUCAUGGCAUUGUCAAUGUAUAGGAGGUUAGGUUUGGGAGAGUGGAAGGACACAAAAGUCACUUUACAAUUAGUUGACCGAUCCUUAGUACGUCCUAAAGGAUUUCUUGAAGAUGUGUUACUAAGGGUUACACAAUUUAUUUUUCCUAUCGAAUUUAUCGUGCUUGACUUCGAAGAGGAUCUAGAAAUUCCUAAACUUUUAAGGAGACCUUUAUUAGCCAUAUCUACGGCCACCAUAGACGUAGGACGGGGCGAAUUUACUUUGGACAUUGAAAGAGAAAUCAAAAUUUCCAAAUGUGUCUAGACCAAUACUAGGUCUAAAGAAAUGUUAGUGUCACAAGAGAAUACGUGUCAAGUAAUUGAGAUAAAGACUUAUCAUGCUAUCAAAUUUGUAACUUCCAUAGAAUGGUUUAAUUUUUCAAGUGUUCACGGGUCAUACAAAAGAGUCAGAAAAUGAAUGAGAAUAAGAAGAAAAGUACAAUUCCUGACAGGCUCUGGUUAUAAGCUAAAAAAAGACGUGUUCAAGUGUCGAGGACACCGAUGAAACACCAUUUUAGUGGUGUGACUGACUACUCAAAGUUGAAUUUUUAACUCAUUGCUUAUGGAGAAUGAACAAAAAUUUGUAAAAAAAUUAGAUGUUUUGAGCAUGAAAUCCAUUUAUUUUCUACAUUUAGAUUAGGAUUUUAAAUUUUGUUAGUUUAAUUUUAAACCUAGUAGGUUAGAUUUUUGAGGUUUGAGAUGAAAAUUGAUGAUUUUGUCAUGUUUUUGGGGAUUAGUUCAGUGAAAUCACGAUACCUAAGAAGGAUAUUGCGAUUUCAAGGAUAGUUUCAAGAGGGAUCGAAAAUCUUUUGGGUAUCGCGAUAUUGGGUCUCUUGUAUCGAGAUACCCCUAGAAUUUCAAAAUUAAAAAGAUUUUGUUUUACAUAGUGGUAUCGCGAUACCCACCCCUCGAUAUCAUGAUAUCGCGGACAGACUCAAAAGUGAAGGGCCCAAAAAUAGGGGAUAUCGUGAUAAACAAAGUUGGGUAUCAUGAUAUCCAAGUCAGGUCACGCGAUAACCAAUUUCAGAUAUUGCGACCCGUGUGUUUUGGAGGCUUUUUAAGCCUCCAGACACCCCAUUCACCUUAUUUUACCCUAAAAUAUUCAUUCUAAAUCCCUAAAAACUCUCUCCCUUCUCUAUUUUCUCUCAACCCUCCUUUCAUAUCUCUUUCGAUUCAGUUUUUGAUUUCUUUUGUUUUGCUUUACUUUUUGUCAGUUUUCCUUCUUUUCAAGUAUUUGGCCGUUUUGGCUUUGGGAACACGUCACUUCUAGAUUCAAUCCAUUCGACUAUGGCAAUCAAGGCAGUUUAAGUUUUCCUUUCCCUCACUAAUUAUUACUUUUUUUUAAAUUUCAUUUUAAGUUUUUAGUUUAUAGAUUGAUUUCUAGUGAUUGGGUAAUUAAUUGAUUUUUAUUGCUCUUAAUUGAGAAAACUAUAAGAAUGCCCCUGAGAACGCAAAAAGAAUCUCGUUCCCAAACUUCCUUAGUUUCGGUGUAAGAAUUUGGUGGCGUCAAAUUUGCCCAAAAUGAGGUCACAGAAUUCUAUCAAACCAUUCAGGGACAUACGUUCAUCCCUAAACGUGGUUUCAAUUUGGCCUUAUCAUUUAAUGAUGAAAUUUGGGAUGAUGUUUGUUUUCAUCGGUGGGAUAACUUUUGCUUGCUUCCCAAGCAACCUGUCGUUAUACCUGUGGUGCUGGAGUUUUACUCCAAUUUAAAAGUUGCUAAACAUGAUAGGGUAUACGUCAGACGUAAAUAAUCACCUCUAGACAUACUAACGUACAUAAUGUGAAUAUUGAAAUAAAAUAUAAACUUACGAGGUGGUAUCCGCAAGUAUACGGGUAUAGUUGUAAUAUAGUUUUACAAUAGAUUGGGUGAGUACUCCGAGGAUUGUACCCAAGAGAGGCGAGUGCUAGAUCAAUUCUAACCUAAGCACUGAAAGAUCUAAUUAAUUCUUUAGAUUCAAUUAUAGUACGAAGAAUAUAAAAUAAAGGAUUUUUAGGGUUUUUAUAAUGAUAAAAAUAAAAAAAAAACAUAAAAAAAUAAAAUUCAACAGAUUAAAAAAGAAGAAUAAAUCAAAUCUGAUUAUGGGUAAUUAGCUCGCUUCGGUAAUCUCCAUCAACUGUCGCUUCGGGUUCCUCUCCAAUCAACUAGUUUCUACCCUAGUAGGAUCUUUCGAUCUUCCACUAACAUAACAAGUCAGCAAUAACUACUUAUCUUUUGACCUCACAGUUCAAACUAGUUUGGGGUUAAGGUGUUCACGGAUGGCCAAUACCAAUAUUGGGUUAAUUCCCACCUGGAUGACUUCCCGAGGUUGUUAGGCUUAAGGUUUGUUUCAUGUUUUCCAUUUCCCAAACAACUGAUUCAUUGAGUAAACCUACAAAAUAGUUAACAGAUCAUACAUCCACUCGUUAAUCUCCUACAGAAGGAUUAGUUCCUCAUGGCUUCAUAAACAAUAUAUAAUCGAUAUAAAAAGAAAGUAUGCUAAUUAAAUCAACAAGAUAGAGUAAAUGAAAGAGUCUGAUUGUAUUGAUAUUAAGUGUAAAUCCACAUAUUUGAAUGAUUCCACAAUCAAAAUCUCUUAAAAGAAAAUGAAUAAACUCUAGAAACCUAAGAAAGAAAAUGAAACUAAAUUUGAAGAAAGAGACUAGUUUAAUGAAAAAGCGUCUUUAACAUCUGCCAAAUGGGCCUAUUUAAAGCCUUUAGGUGGCCUUCGUCCUUAACCCUAGGUCAACUAAUGUUCUCGAGCUUUAAGUUUGAUUGUACAGGCCAAAACACCCCUGGUUCAUGUUUAAUUUCCAUCUCAGAGUCGAUGUCGCGACACACUAGGACCUAUGUCACGACAUAGCAACCAAUAUGCUCAUUAGUAGCCAUCUUCAAAGGUAUGUCGUGUUUAAUUUUGUUCCCUAUGUUGCGACAUCAAUCCUCCCAUAUUGCGACAUUGCAUCCAAUAUCAAUCUAAAAUGCCUUCUAAUGGUCUCCUGCACACUUACAAAGCACGUUAGAUCUGCCUUAGGCCCCAUUUGGCCCUUAAGGUCAAUAAAAGUCUCAAUUUUCACAUAUUAUUGAAUGUAAGUAAAACUAAAGAAACUUAACUAAAAUGUCAUGAAAAUGUUUGUAUCUAGGCUCCUUAAGUGUGAAAACUAGUUUAAUCUAUUACACCAAAUUUUGAAAGAUCAAAGUCCUCUACACUUAAGUCAUUGUUUGUAACAACCCGGUCUUGACACUAAUCAGACAAAGUGGUUUUGGGACCACAAAUCCAGGUCAAAAAAAUAUUUUAAAAUUAUUUUUGAUAUUUGCAGUAUGUGAAUUACUAUGUGUAAAAAUUUUGUAUAAAAAUUUGAUCGUUUGAGUGCACAAUUUGAUAAAAAGGGCUUAAUCGCGAAAAAUAAAAAUUUAAGGGUUAAAUUUAAAAGCACCCAAUUGUUGUUGUCUUUUAAAAAUAAGGGUUAUAAAUGGAAAUUAGGCCAUUUAAUAGUUAGUGGGCUGCAAUGGUCUAAAUUACCCUUAAGUUAUAUGUUUUAUAAUUAAUUAAACAAAGGUUAAAGUAGUCAUUAAGUAAUUAAAAUAUAUAUUAGUUAAAAUAACUUAAGAAAAGAUGAUUUUAUCAUCUUCUCCAAGCCGAAUGUUAAGCAAAAAGAAGCUCAACUAUGGCUUUCUAAAGUUCGGCCAUAUCCUUGCUUAAUUAAAGGUUCGCUUUUGUUCGGUUUUUAAAAAUUUUUACGUUUUUGAGAUCGUUGCUUUGUGUACUACAAGACCCAUGCUUUAAUUUUAGAAUUUGGUGUUGAUUUUGUGAUAUGCCAUUGAUGAAUGCUUGAGCUUUAUGAUAGUUGAUGAUGAAAUAUGAAAGAUAUGUGAAAGAUUAACGUGUUUUGUCUUUGAAUUUUUGGUGAAAUUGAGUAAUUAGGGCUAAAUUGUGAAAUUAAAAUUUUGAGGGACUAAAAUAUGAAAUAAAUGAAAUUUGUGGACUUGUAUGAGCACUAGGGACAUUCGGCCCUUGUAUAGUAUGGGCAAAUUUUGUGUAUUUUGUGUUUUAUGUAAUAUGGACUAAAUUGCAAAAAAUGUAAAUAUUAGGGGUAAAAUGGUAAUUUUCCCAUUUAUGUGUUUUUGGACUAAAUUGAAUGUAAUAAAAUUUAAUUUAUCUCAUUUUGAAUAUAUUUAGAUCAAGAACCAAAGAAAUCGGAGUUAGAUCGAGGAAAAGUUAAAGUCGUCGACUAAUCGUCCGGUUUCGAUUUUACACUGUCCGAGGUAAGUCUAUUAGCUAUUUAAUGUCAUAAAAAUCAGUUUAUAGGUAUGUAUAUGUGAUGUAUUUUGAUGAAUUAUAAUUUAAAAUAUGUUGGUUGAAAAAAUUAAAAGUAUGAGUGAAUUAUAUGCAUUAUUGUUACAUGUUCGAAUCAUAGUUAUAUACUUAUAUGGUCAUUUGAAUUUAGUUAAAGUAUGAAGGUAUAUAAGGAUAUAAAAUUAUAAAUGUUAUCAAAUUUAGUUGGAGUAUAAAAGUUUUAUAUUUUUAUAAGUACAAGUUUCGAAUUUAUACAUGUAUAUACAAGUAUAAAGUAUUGGUUUAAUAAAAGGUAUAUAUAUAUGUGUGUGUGUGUGUUUGUGUACUUAAGAUUCGGAAAUAAACAUAGGUUUAUAUUGGUAUGAAACUUUGUAUUGGAUCUCUAAUAUGAAAAUAUACAUGUAUAUGUCCUUGUAUUGAAUUCAGGUAUGCCAUUUAUACAAGUUUAUAUGAGGUUCAAUUAUGCAAAUAUGCAUAUAUAUAUAUAUGUUCUGUAAUGAGUUUAAGUAUGAAAUUUAUAUAUGUAUAAGGGAGGUUCGAUUAUGUAUGUAUAUUCAUGUAAAAAUUCUUGAAUGGAAUUGAAGAUAUGAAAUUAUUAGUUUGGAAUAUCAUAAGGUGUUCGAAUGCAUGAUAUUAGGUAGUAGGCUUUAAUGUGUUAAGUUAUAUAUAUAUAUAUGUUCGGAUGUAUAAUUAAGUUAUUGAGCUGAAUUUGAUGUCUGAACUUUAUAUACCUAUGUGGAUUAAAGAUAUAGUUUAUAAAUUAUUGAGUUGAAUUUUUAUGUGGAUAAUAUAUACAAAUAUGAGAUAUAACUUCUGUGAAUUGAGAUUUUAGGCUCAGUGCCUAUCAGGUUUAUUGCCAGUGAAACAAUAUCAGACUUUACGUCUAGCAGGCUUAAUGCCGGUGAAAUAAUUUCAGACCUUACGUCUAGCAGGCUUAAUGCCGGUGAAACAAUAUCAGACUUUACGUCUAGCAGGCUUAAUGCCGGUGAAACAUUUCAGACUAUAUGUCUAGCAGGCUAAGUGUCGGUGUACUGAAUCAGGCUUUAAGUCUAGCAGGCUAAGUGCCAGUGAAUCUGUUUAAAGAAUGUGAUUAAGUGUACAGUUAUAUGAUUUUGGUUAUCUUUAAUUGAUGAGCAUAUAUACCUUCGACUAAGUGUGUUUAAUGAAUAUGUACAUAUUCAGUCUAUGCAUUUGUAAAAAUAUACAUACAUGCUUUCGAUUUAUGCAGUCGAUAAAUGUAUACAUAUAAAUAUUCGGUAUAUGUAUUUGAUAAGUAUCUACAUAUGCAUUUGAAAUGUAUACACCUCUAUUUAUAAUUAUUUGAUGAAGAUGAAUGCAUUUGGUCACAUGUAUUAGAUUUGUAUUUGGUUAUAAGUUUAUUAUGAGUAUACAUACACAGUUGGAUAUGAUAUGUGUAUAACAUACAUAUAUGCUCGGUUAUAUUCAUUUGGUUGUAAUGUUGUUUGGUAUAAAUAUAUAUAUUCAAUUGAACGCAUUUCGACAGGUACAUAUAUUUGACUAUAAAUAAAAUGGUCUGAGUACAGUAAAUGUAUAAAUAUUAAUUAUAUGUGUUAAUUGCAAUCUCAGUAAAUUAAAUUAAAAAGUUAUAUUAUUUCUAUAUAUAUAUAUUUCAUUAUGCAAUAGACUUACUAAGAUAUAAAAGCUUACUUUGUUUGUUUAUGUCUUUCUGUUUUAUAUACUUAAAGAUCAAGCUUCAAGCUCGGGGAUCGUCAGCAAGAUCAUCACUCUAUCUACUGUUUCGGUAUUAAACUGUUUAAAUUUUAAUUAUGGCAUGUACAGGCUAGAUAAAUGUUUUGGAAAGUCGUACUUUGAUAUAUUGUAUAUGAAAUUAAUAGUCAUACGAAAAUUACUUAUAUUCUUAUGCUUUAACUGGAUUGUAAUUUUAAAGAGAAGUUUAAAAUUUUACAUGUUUAAUAUUAGACCUAGCAAUUUAUAUGUAACCGUUAAAAUUAUUGAACUAUACUGAAUGUCUGUUCUAAGUUCUGUUUUGAUUAGUAAUGCCUCUUAACCCUAAUUCGAUGACCGAUACGGGUUAGGGGUGUUGCAUUGUUUAUCCUCAAGCAACAUAAACAAAGAUGACAAAUAAACAUGAUGAACCUUGAGCAAGUAUGAUACAAUUAUUGACUUCGGAGCAUAUGACUUAGGCAUUUUAUGUUUACUAACAACUUCGACGUGAUGAAUAGUUGAUUUACCACCUUUGAUUCAAACAUCUAAGUUUAGCAUGUUAUAUACAAGUAUUAAUGGUCUCUUCUAUUGUAAUCCAUCAACAAAUCAUACAAGUCCGAGCAGAAUACAAAUAGUCGUUUAUGCACAUGUCUAGUAUGAUGUCCAUUCAUGUAUAAGAAUAUUUAGGUCACAUAGGACUUUUCGACUUGUAACAUUCUAAAGCUUAGGACAUGUAUGAAAUUCAAAAAUAGUAAGAAUCGAAAGGGUUACAAACACGUAAAUAGUUUGGCACAUCGUAUUAUCAUUAUUCUUCCCCCUUAGUGACCCUUUCCCGCUCAUCGCCUUAUUUCUCCUUCUCUCACCAUCAUAGCAUGACAUAAUAACUACGGCUAGCUUUCGAGUUUUUGUGCACUAAUGAACGGGUUUUUCUUUCUUUUGUGACUUUGUGAAUUUUCUCUUUUUCAAUACAUUUCACUCAUGAAUGUUUUGUUGGCUUUUCAGGUACUUUUUCUACUCGUAUGGAUUUUGUUUUAUUUUUCUUCUUGUUUUGCGCUUUCAGGCUAACCUAUAAUUCCCAUAUCACACUAAUAUUUCCUUUUUCACUUUAUUUUUACAAAAUCCACCAUGAUGUAUCUACUAAACCCUCAAUACGUAUGGCCAAACAUCUAUAAUCUUGUAGUGCAGGACCAAAGGACAAGCGCAAAUAAAAAUUGAUGUUUUCAAGCUCGGGGCUUGUAAUGUGGUUCAUCAAGAAGUUUAAGCAAAUUUUCUAUGUUACCCCCCACACUUUAGUUGACACAAUGUCCUCAAUGCGUAGCCCAUAAAUAGAUAAGGAAGGGAGUUACCCGAUUGGUCGUGGUCGCUCCAAUUGCAAAUAGUGGGUACUUUUUCCUUUGAUCGUGUUAGCUAGAAUUGUUUGUGUCCCCUUCGUUUUGUGUUCCUACAUAGAAAAUUUAACAAAGUGCAACAAAACAAAAAAUCUAUUUAUUAUUCCUACUCUUACAAAGUCUAAAUUAAAAUCAUCCAAAAAUUAAUACAAGUCUUUUAAAAGUGAAAAUAAAAAAAUUCAAUCCUUCUCCGAAUCAUCGAGGGGAUGAGAACGUCUCUUCUCCAUAGGGGCUUUGCCAUUUCCUUUGACAUAUGUUUUGUGGUAGUUCCCACCCAUUAAAGGCACAUGGUGAGUUGGGCUUCGAAUGACAGGCCCUUUUGGUGUAGAAAAUUGCUGCUGAAAUGUCGCUUCAUACUCAUCCCCUAUUCCAGGGUAUUCCUGAGCAGCACCUUCCUCCUCAAGAUAAACCUCUUCAUCCUGAUGAGUCGGAGUUGGCUUGAACAUGUCUGGAGGAUAAUUUGGAGCGCGUAACCCACUCAUCCUUAUGAAUUCUUGAUGUACUAGUCCUGUCUCAUGCAUCCAUCGAAUCAUUCCGUCAAGUUUUGCGUCUAUGUCUCCACUAGCUCCCUUUUCUAAUCUUUGAGUGAUCUUUUUGUUUGAGUGAUGUUAGUAUGUCAAAUUUUAUCUUCCUCCUUUGAUUCCAUUUAGUUAUCUGCUUCCGCUGAAGUUUGACAUAUUGGGUAUAUAAUGUAUCUCCGAUACUACUCCUCGUUGGUUUCAUUAAUUGCUUGUUUUCGCUCAUUGGCACCUCUGUCUGAUAGCAUAGAGCCGUUACGAGGUGGGGGAAGUAGAGUCCAAGUUUUUGGCUCUAUACGCACCUUUUCAUUUCUUAAAAAAUCCAAUGCCCUACAUUGAUUUGUUUUCACUGCAUGAUACCAUGUAACAAGAUAGCUGGAAACACAUUAACAUUAGAAACAUUUAAUACGGGUGCAAUUCUAGUGCCAAUGAAUAGCAUCCACAUUUUAGCAACAAGAAACAUAAUAACUUGAUUAAAAUUCAUGGGAAGCUUAGUGUCGGCAUGUAGUUCCAACUACCCCUGCCUUGUGUUAGAUAUUUUAUAACAUCUUCCAUGUCAAUGUUUUGAAAUCCUUCUAGAUUAGUAUAAUCUAUAAAAUCUUUUUCAUAAAAUGGGAUGUUAUAAAACUCACAGAUAUCAUUAUGGGAGAUUGGAACGUCUUCCUCUUGCACUUCAACAUCAGUUAUAACUGAAUUAUAAUGUAACACCCGCGACCUCCGUCGUUGGAUCAGGGUUACAGAGUAUUGUUGUACAAAAUAGAAUAUUAAACAUCGAAAUAGAAUCAAAAUGCCAUUUAUAUAUUAACAUUUGAUAACAAAAUUAAACUAUAACAUAAGUACCUUUACAGACUAAAAUCGAACCUAAGAGGCCUUAAAAAUAGUUUGGAAACAAUGAGGGAUUACUCGAAACAAAUAAAAAAUUUAGGCCAAACUUGAGAAUUUUCAAAAUAGGGGUUACACGGCAAUGUGACAUAGCUCAGGCUGUGUGGGAAUUCAAACUAUGGGACACACGGCCGUGUCCUAGCCCGUGUGCCAGACCAUGUAAAACUUGCACCUAAAUUAAUAUGACACACGAUCACAUGAGGUGAUCGUGUGUAGCACAUGGUCGCGAGACUGCCCGUGCCUCAAGCCGUGGGCAGUAAAAAGUGCCCCUUAAACAAACCAUUUCAAAUUCAAUUACUUGCAUACCAAUGCACACCAUAUCUAACCUAUUUCACAUGGUUAAAAGUACUUCCAAAGCAUAGAAAACAUGCGAAAUUCUCAUCCAACCUAUGAUUAACCAAUAUAUCAUCAAUAAACUCACCAAAUCACACUCCAAAACCAUUCAUGAACUACAUUACAAUAUCAUAUAUCAAUCAUAUGUCAUGAAUACCAAAAGACCAUUUCUUUUCAAAUUAUACCAUCAAAAUUCACCAGUUUAGAUAAGUAAAAUUAAAAUGACCAUAUCCAUAAAAGUUUAAAUAUAUACAAGCCAAAUAAAACUAUAUAUAUAUACUACUAGACACAAGAAAAACCAAAAUACACCAUGUGAUCAAACUAGAUAAGCACCUAUUACAUGCCAAAGCACAAAGUUUUGUGCCUAGCACUAAUCGGAUAAACAAGAGAUAGGUGUGCCCUGCACUAGUCGGAUAAACCGACAAUGUUUUGUACCUAGCGCUAGUCAGACAAACUGACGAUAUCAAAUGUGUGUCCAGCACUAGUCAGAUAAACUGACGAUAUCAAAUGUAUGCCCAUCACUAGUCGGAUAAACUAACAAUAAAUUACGCCUAACACUAGUCGGAUAAACCGACGAUAUCAAAUGUGUGCCCAGAACUAGUCGGGUAAACUGAAAAUACAGACAUAAUUACAUCAUCCAGAUUUCUUCAAUUUAUAAUUUAAAUCCUUUACAUUAAUCUUCUAUAUUAAAUUUCUAUAAUCCACUCCAUAACCACUUUCAUAUAUAUAUAUAUAUCCAUAACAUUACAUUUAAAAUACUAAUCAUUUGAAUACAUAUAAUUGACUAUCAAAUUAACUAAUUAUCAAACUAAUUAAAUAAAAAAUGUAUGAGUUUAAGCAUUACGAACUUACCUGAACUCAAAAUUGACUUUUAACAUGAACCAACUACUACUCCGCUAGUUUGACUUUUCCGCGAUUUGUGUCCGUUCGAGUUGUUUCUUAAUCUAGAUAAAUAUUUUUAUUUAAUUAAUCUCAUUCCAGCAUUUAAAAUAAUUAAUUCAAGCCUAUAACCCUUAUCUUUAAGAAUUUACUAAAUUACCCCAAUAUUUUAGCAUUUUUGCAAUUUAGUCCUAAAUCCCGAAAUUCAUGAAUUAUCCACAUUUAAUUAAAAUACCAGCUAUCCUAAUUUCAUAUAAUUUAUAAUCAGCCCAUAUCCAUUACCAAUUCCCAAUAUUUACAUGAAGUUUUACUAUUUUAACAAAUUAAUCCUUAAACAUUAAAAUCAUUAAAAAUCACUUAACAAAAUAAGCAUAUCUAACAAUCAAGCUUCCAACAAAACCAAUUAGCAUCAAAGACAUUCAAAAUCAUAAAUGGUAAAUUUCUAACUGUUUGACGAUUUCACAAAUUAAUCCUCAAUUUAGCUAGAUAUCAAAACAACCAUCACAAAUACACAAAAUUCAUGAAAAACAAGUCAAGAAAUACUUACAUGCAAAGAAAAAUAAAAAAUAAAAACCAAAGCUCCCUCCUUCCUACAAUGGUGUUCGGCUAAAGAAAUAAAAGAAUGAAGAUGAUGGAUGCUUUUGGUUGUUUUAUUUUAUUACUUUAACUUUUGUUUAAUUAAUAAACAUAUAUUAAAUUAUAAGUUUCUUUUUCUUUUCAAUCCCUACAUCCACUAACCGGCCAUAAUUCAUUAUUAUGGUCUAAUUGCAACAUAAACACUUGUAACUUUAAUAAUUUACCAAUUAAUACCUUUUUAACUAAUAAAACUCACUUUUACAACCUUUAUGAUUUAGUCCUUUUAAUUAAAUAACUAUUUAAAUGAUAAAAUUUCCUAAUGAAACUGUAAUAUAACCUUAAUAACAAUCUGUAAAUAUUUAAUAAAAUAUUUACUGGCUCGAUUUAUUGAAACGAGGUCCCGAUACCUCUUUUUCUAAAACUAGUUGACUUUAGUAUUUACCACUUGAACCUAAUUAUUCAUUCAAAUAAUAUAAAUUAUCAAAUAAAAAUUUAUUAUAAUACUAUAUUUGGCUCGUAAUUAUUAAAUAAUAAUAUUUACGAACCCACUCGUCAAAUUUGUGGCCCCGAACUUUAUCCUCAAUAUUUCUGACCUAAAAACAGUGCUGGUUAUUGUGUUCUGAAAGUCUCCUCGACUGUUAUGUUUCAACGAACUUGUUUUCGCUUCAUUCUGACCAUUAUAACGAGGUUCUACAUUUCUAUUCGUGUAUAGCUUCAAAUGAUAUCAUUAUAAUACAAGACUGAUAGAUGUUAUUAUAAAUGAAUACCAACCAUAAAUAUUUUCCAAAUUACCCCUGUUUGCGCCAUAGCUUUUUGAAUUUUAGACACAUACGACUCGUCUAGCUUUUAAACUAAUAAUAUGUUCUGACUGGAAUAAAAAACUUGAGUCAUUUUUAUUGAUCUGACAAUAAUAAUCCUGAUUGAUUCUCUCUUUCUCAACGUCAAAGAUAAUCCAGAUACAAAAUCCAUCAACUUGCAUUCAUAUCCCAUCAAAACUAUAAUAAACGGUAACAACUCAGACAAGACUUGAUGUUCAACUUUGACAUACUAGAUAUCUAGAUACAAACUCUAAAAUUUCAUAUUUUAAACUCAGCUAUCAACAACUAUGUCUUAAGACAUUUCAUGGUUUGUUACACUUGACUGAUUCAAAUAGACACUGUAAUAAGCCUUUCAUAAGAUAUCUCAUAUAAUCUCCUAUUUGUUCAAUACAUAUAUUUGAUCUAUUAACACAAUCCAUACUGUAUCAAUGAUCUAAUUAUUUUGAAUUUAUCCCAGUUUAACUAUCAAAUUCAAAUAUUUUCUUUGCAUCUCACAAACUUUCUGAAGAAUCAACGAUUUAACCCUUAUCUGUAUACUAAUCGAACGAACAUAAUUCAAGGUUACUUGAGUAAAACACUACUGUCGACAAUGAAUUUCUUCCCAGAUGUAGACAAAUUUUGAAUUGAAGCUUCUACCAAAAGAAUUUUUCAACUAGUUAGAACUUUGCUGAUACUUAUCUGAUCAAAGAAAUUUAACAGUUUCUUGUAAUAAAUUCAUCCUCGGUAAUACAAUUAUUGAAAAUUUCUUAAUGAAUCAUCUGUCGAGGUGGUAUCAAUUAAUCUGAAAAGCGUAAUCAACACUCGUAGUGUCCGUAACAACUUCUGAAUGCUACUUUCGGCACAUCUACAUCUUUAACUAACAACUGAUAGUAACUAGAUCGAAAAUUUAUCUUCAAGAACACUGUAACUUUUUUCAGCUGAUCGUACAAAUCUUCAAUACUGAACAACUAAUUAAAUUGAUCUUUCUUUUUACCAUACGUAUUCAACUGUUGAUAAUCUCUACACAAUCUAAUUAUCCCAUUUUCUCUUUUCUUCUUCAUUUUUUUUUUACGAACAGAAAAAAUGCAUCUUAAGGUGAUACACUCAUUCGAAUUAAACCUCCAUCAAUAGAUUCUUACAACUGAACUUUUAAUUCUUUUAAUCCAUUUGAAAUCGUUUUGUACAAAACGAUAAUAAUCGAAUUAGUCUUGGACAGUAAUUCAAUAGCAUGUCCGACUUCUCAUUCUGGUAGUAAACUUAGCAAUUUCUUCGGAUAAACAUCUGUAAACUCAUAAUCUAUCAGUACAUGAUCAACUGUCAUUUUUUAUACUCUAGAAUCUAGGACAUAUGCAUAAAAAUACAUCACAACCAGUAAUAAAAUCAGGGUUGAGGCCUCCUCCUGUGCAGGAAUCCCUUAAGUUUUGGCAGGUGCUUAAGCUUUAGAUUGAACGAGGGUAUCUUUAAUGUCACUUCUUCUAACUCCAAUGAUGCCACUAUUUCUUGGUUGUUCGUCUCUAAUAAGAAUAGCAACAGGCUUUACAUUCUGAUCUCUAUUUAAUUCAGUUCGACUUGUACAAUCUUUCUUGUAGAGAUCGGAAGAUCCACAAGUAAAGAAGGAUCUGCCUUUCUAUAUUCAUAUCUCAAAAUGAUUCCAUCCACAAAGACUAUAUUCAAGUUUAUUUACAUUUCUUACGCUACCUGCACUGGCUACUAAAGUCACUGGUGGUCUCACAAAACUUUAUUUCAUUUUAUCUCUGUUAAAAAACCCCGAUGGCACUAAAAACGGCUACUCGGUUCUUUCAUUUUUCUUUGACGGAAGUAGAAAACAUUCUAGAUACAUUUCGUUUAUUGAAGUCUUAAACCCUUGAUUCGCUCUAUUUCUAGUGAUAACAAGUUUCUUCAAUUUUCAAUUUUUUUUCUGAACUUGAUUAACUAAAAUUACUAACUCACGAAAUUCCAUUGCACACAAAAACAUUUUAAACUCAUUAAUCAUUCCGUCUUCACAACAAAUACAUAAUUCCUUUCCAAUUAGCAUCAUCAUAUAGCAUAUUUACUGAGCCUAACAAACUCUCACUCGUAUUCCGCAAUUGAUCUGAUUCCUUACUUCAGCACAAGAAAUUCCUUUUUAUUUUUGUCUAAAUAUCGUUUGCUAACAUCACUCUUUCAAAAAUUAAAUUAGAAGAAAUCCCAGUUAAUCUGUUGUUUCGAUACCAAAGUAAUAUCUUCAUAAAUAUUCAGGAAUUCAUAACAUUUCAUCUAAAGCUCUCUACGUUUGCUAACCAAUACUCGGCUCUGGAUGAAUCAUUACUCACUUUACCUCUAAACUCUAUAGCUCCACACUUUCGAACUUUAUCAAUAGAAACCCUAUGAAUAUUUUGUCGCAGGACUUUGACCACAAGGGAGUGAAGGUCGUAGAGUCACAAAAAUUUAUUUUUAUAUACACAAUAAAUAUAUUAUUGAUUAUUAAUAAAAAUAUUGUGAACCUUUUCUCUAGACUUCUUAAAUUUCAGCACAUUUUAGGCAUCCCCAUGAUUGGAGACUUGAACAUUGCUGACAACUUCAUCGCAAUUAGCUCGGUUGGAAGACAUAUUUUAUUUAUGUGAAAAAUAAAAUUCACUUGAGUCAGGAGACAUCACACUAUCAUAGGUUAUAAAAUGACAUGUAUUUCUAGUCUCCAUACAUGCUAGUUCAGUUUAAGAAUCGACUAAACCAUAGCUCUGAUACCACUAAAUGUAACACCCCUAACCCGUCUUGUCAUCGGGUUAGGGUUACAAAGUAUUACUGUACAAAAUAAAAUAUUUAACAUCGAAAAAGAAUCAACAUGCAAUUUAUAUAUUAACAUUUGAUAAAAUAAUUAAAUUAUAUCAUAAUUACUUUUUCAGCCUAAAAUCGAACCUAAGAGGCAUUAAAAAAUAGUUUGAAAAUAAUCAAGGACUUAUUUGAAACAAAUCAGAAAUUUCAGGCCAAACUUGAGAAUUUUCAAAAUAGGGGUCACAUGGUCGUGUGGCCAGGUUGUGUGGACAUUUAAACUACGGGACACACGACCGUAUCCCAACACGUGUGUCAAACUAUGUAACUCACUGACUUGGGUCACGGUCGUGUGCCAAACCUUGUGAAACUUGCACCUAAAUUAAUGACACACGGCAUAUGAUUACAACAAUGCAUUUAUAUUCAUCACCAAACAAUACUAGUCAAACAUUCAUCUAAUAUUCCUACUUGUGAUACAUAUCUCACCCAAAACAUGUUACCUAAAUAGCGAACCAUUGAAGGAUGAGAUACCGACCUUUUCGUUGAUAUCCUUUUCGACCUUUUCAUUUAUAUCAUUUUUAAUCUUCUUCAAUGGAUCGUUUAUAAAUCAUCAACAUGGAUCAAUCUAUUUUUGGCACUUGGUGCCGGACGGAUAAACCAUAACAAAGUUUAGUGCCUAGCGCUAGUCGGAUAAAUCGAAGAUAGGUGUGCCGUGCACUAGUCGGAUAAACCGACAAUGUUUCAUGCCCAGCGCUAGUUAGAUAAACUGAAGAUAUCAAAUGUGUGUCCAGCACUAGUCGGAUAAAUUGAUAAUGUUUUGCACCCGGCGAUAGUAGGAUAAACUGACGAUAUCAAAUGUGUGUCUAGCACUAGUCAGAUAAACCGACAAUGAUUUUACACCCAGCGCUAGUCGAAUAAACCAAAAUAUACAUACGUAAUUACUUCAUUCCAUAUUUCUUCAGUUCAUAAUUUAAAUCCUUUACAUUAAUCUUCUAUAUUAAAUUUCUAUAACUCACUCCAUAACCAUUUUCAUAUAUAUAUUUCCAUAGCAUUACAUUUAAAAUACUAAUCAAUAGCAUUACAUUUAAAAUACUAAUCAUUUGAAUAAAUAUAAUUGACUAUCUAAUUAACUAAUAAUCAAACUAAUUAAAUAAAUAAUGUUCAAAUUUAAGGACUACGAACUUACCUGAACUCAAAAAUGACUUUUAACAUGAAUCAACUACUAUUCUGCUACUUUGGAUUUUUUGAGAUUUGUGUUUGUUCGAGUUGUUUCUUGAUUUAGAUAAAUAUUUUUAUUCAAUUAAUCUCAUUCCAACAUUUAAAAUAAUUACUUCAAUCUUAAAACCCUUAUCUUUAAGAAUUUACUAAAUUACUCCCAAUAUUUUAGCCUUUUUGCAAUUUAGUCCUAAAUCCUGAAAUUCAUUAAUUAUCCACAUUUAAUCAAAAUACCAGCUAACCCAAUUUCAUAUGAUUUAUAAUCAGCCCAUAUCCAUUAUCAAUUCCCAAUAUUUACAUGAAGUUUUACUAUUUUAAUAAAUUAAUCCUUGAACAUUAAAACCACUAAAAAUCACUUAACAAAAUAAGCAUAUUUAACAAUCAAGCUUCCAACAAAACCAAUUAGCAUCAAAGACAUUCAAAAUCAUCAAUGGUAAAUUUCUAAAUGUUUGAUGGUUUUACAAUUUAAUCUUCAAUUUAGCUAAAUAUAAAAAAAAACUAUAACAAAUACACAAAAUUCAUGAAAAACAAGUAAAGAAAUACUUACAUGCAAAGAAAAAUAGAAAAACCAAAGCUCCCUCCUUCCUACAAUGGUGUUCGGCUAAGGAAAUAAAAGAACGAAGAUGAUGGAUGCUUUUGGUUUUUUUUAUUUUAAUACUUUAACUUUUGUUUAAUUAAUAAACAUAUAUUAAAUUAUUAGUUUUUCUUUUCUUUUCAAUUCCUUCAUCCACUAACUAGCCAUAAUUCAUUGUUAUGGUCUAAUUGCAUCAAAAACUCUUGUAACUUUAAUAAUUUAUCAAUUAACACCUUUUUAACUAAUAAAACUCACUUUUGCUAUCGUUACGAUUUAUUCUUUUUUAAUUAAUUAACUAUUUAAAUGAUAAAACUUUCUAACGAAACUAUAAUAUGACCUUAAUAACACUCCGUAAAUAUUUAAUAAAAUAUUUACAGGCUCGGUUUAAAGAAAUGAGGUCCUGAUACCUCAUUUUCUUAAACCACUUAAUUUUAGGAUUUACCACUUGAACCUAAUUAUUCGUUCAAAUAAUAUAUAAUAUCAAAUGAAAAUUUAUUAUAAUACUAUAUUUGGCUCGUAAUUAUUAAAUAAUAAUAUUUACGAAACUCAUCGGAUUUGUGGCCUCGAAGCGACUUGGGAGUCAGAAGAAAUGAUGAGAUCUCAAUAUCCUCACCUCUUUUCAGAUAAAUUUUAGGGACGAAAUUUAUUAAGGGGUAGAGAAUUGUAGCAACCCAAAAGUCAGUUGUGUCGAGAAGUGUAUUUUUGGAGUCUCAUUUUCGUAAACUGGGCUCGUAAAUAUUUUUAUUAAAUAUUCAUAGAGUUAUGUUAGAAGUAAAUUAAAUUUCAGUUAGGUAAUUUCAUUGAAUUAGAUUUUUUUUUAAGUAUAGGAAUUUAAUUGAAUAAGUGUUAAAAUUUUAAUUUUUAAUUAAAUCAUAAGUGAACAUCUAACAAGGGGCUUAUUAGGUAAAUAAACCAUUAAUCUAGUUAUUGGACGUAUCAUGAUAGCUUGGAUUAAAAUAUGUUAUAAGUUUUAUUAUUAUAAUAAAACAUAAGUUAAAUUAUUAAUAUUAGAUAAUAAUGAAAUGAAAGGAUAAAAAUUAGAAAACAAAUAGUUUAGUGGAAAGAGAAAUAAAUAAAGGGAAGCUUUUUGUUCUUCUUUGCAUGCCGACAAUUGAGAAGGAAGGUUAGCACCAUUCGGCCGUUGUUGUUUAUGUUUUAAAGUUCAAAUUGGUUGGUAUGUGUUGAUUCAUUUUAAUUAAAUUUUAUAUUUUUUGGUUUGUCGUUGAAAGCACAAAAAUAACCUAUCCCUAAGAAAUAACAAAAAGAAUAGUACAAGGGAGGGUCAAAUCCUCUGGGACCGAAUCACUACAACUUCUUGUUCCUUGAAAUCUUGGGCACAGUCGUGCUCAAGAAAAACGUCUUACCUGGGAAAAAAAUAAAAAUAGAAUUAAAAAUAUGGACGAGUUGAAAUUGAAUAAAUUGAAAUUAUAAUUGUAAAAAGAAACAAAGUUAAGGGAAGGGGAUUUUCGAUUUGAGGGAUUUCAGCCUCUGAUUAUUUCGAUCCUCCUUAGAUUCAAUCAUAGGCUUUUAGGUGAUCCUUCUCAUGAUCGAAUAAGCAAGUUAUAGUGAAAGAGGACGCCUAUGACCACUAGCUCCACUUAGGUUUUAGACUUACGAUUUAGAGGAACUUGACUCUACCCAACCGUCACUUUUGUGGGACCGUCUUACACUAGAUCAUCAUUUCUCAAUGGCGACUGACACGCAAUUUCGUCUUUUGGGAUCGACAACCACUGAUGAAGUAAGUUAGCGAACCGACUGUGCAACCUUCCCAACACAUACAAAGCAGUCGCCUUUGCACAAGAUGAAAAGAUUACUUUUGGAAGGACAUGAAUGGAAGCGUCAAUCCCGUAAUACAGAGAAAUGAUGAAUACUCGUUGAGAAGGGUUAAUUGCGGAUUCUAAGCCUCAUGAACUUUGUUGGAGGAGUCUUGAUAACCUUUGGCUAGAUGAAUUUAGUGGCUCAUGCUUUUUGGGAAAAAAACACAAGUUUAAUGGAAUGUAAUUUUAUUGGAAAGUAAAAAGGAACAAAAACGCUAAGAGCCUUAGGGGGAGGAGUGUUUUUACAGAAGUGAUGAGUGAAUAUUCAUGUCACUCCAUCCCUAUUUAUAAUACAUAAAAAACUUAGUUUAUUCAUAUUUAAAUUCUAGAUGAUAAUGUUUGAAAGAUAUAAUUUGAAAUUAAAUAUAAACAAUAUCAUAAUAAUUCUAAUAAUAAUCCUAAAAAUAAAAUUCAAAUUUAAAUAAAGUUUUGUGUUCAUAAAUCUCUUCUUUGAAUUUUUGACCCAAGUCUUCCACACUUUAUAUUUUCGGCACCAUUUCUUCCCUAUUUCGCAUGCUGACCUAUUUUGUCUUUAAAUUCAUGCUUUUUGUCCCUAAAUUUCCUUUUGCCUUCCAUUUAGUCCCUACAAGAUAAAGAACCAUAAACAGCCCAAAUUAGUAGGAUCAUACUCAAAAUAUGUAUGUAAUUAACACAUAAAAGUAUGUCAUUUUAGAGUAUUAUCAUAUUCCCCCUACUUAGCCCAUGCUUGCCCUCAAGUAUGGUUCCUAUCCCACUAUGUAAUUUAGAUUUUAUCAUGAAAGAAGUAGCAAUCCAAAGUUUUAUAAAAAUUAGGCAUAAUGCAUAUGAAAAAUAAAGAGAACCUUUAGCUUGAUUUAAGUAAAACCAAAAAGUAUUCCAACUUAAACACACAAAAGUUAAAUCGACUUGGAUUAUUUCAUGAAAAUUAGGUAAUUUACUAAACUUACCAAGACACCUUAUUUGUUCCACCCUUAGUCCCUAAAUGAAAUUCUUUUUUUUUUCUUAAGAAUGUAUUGGCCCUUUUGACGCGAAGAGGGAUGACAACCCAACCACCCCACUCCAAUUACUCAGACCAACACACUCCUAUUUUAUUAUUAUUAUUUGGUUAAAAAUGUUUGGCCCUUUUGACGAAAAUUGAAUAAGUGUUAAAAGUUGAAUUUUUAAUUAAAUCACAAGUGAACAUCUAACAAGGGGCUUAUUAGGCAAAUAAACUAUUGAUCUAGUUAGUGGACUGUAUCAUGAUAGCUUGGAUUAAAAAUAUGUUAUAAAUUUUAUUAUAAUAAAACAUAAGUUAAAUUAUUAAUAUUAUAUAAUAAUGAAAUGAAAGGAUAAAAAUUAGAAAACAAAUAGCUUAGUGGAAAGAGAAAAAUAAAUAAAGGGAAGCUUUAUGUUCUUCUUUGCAUGCCGAAAAUUGAGAAAGAAGGUUAGCACCAUUCGGCCAUUGUUGUUUAUGCUUUGACGCUCAAAUUGGUUGGUAUGUGUUGGUUUUUUUUAAUGAAAUGUUAUAUUUUUGGAACCUUAAAGAUAAUGUAGCCUACUCAUAUUGAAAAUUUGAGAAUUAAUGAUAUUUGUGGAAAUUGUCAUUGUUGAGAAAUUCAAAUCCUUGGUGUUAAUUUAUUGGGUUUUAAAUUUGGGAGUCAUUUAUUGAAUGAUUCUUGAUUUUUUAAAGUUAAGGACUUAUUUAUAAAACUGAUAAACUGAUAAACUCAAGGAUUAAUUUGUGAGUUAAUGAAAAAUAUGAAUUGUGUUUAACCUUUGGAAAAAAAUUUGAAAUGGUUAGUACGAUAUUUUGUUGAUUGUCCUUGAAUUUCAUGAUUUUUAAUUGAGGAAUUAAUUUAUAUUAAAAGUUUAUGUUGAGAGCAAAUUUAGAAAAUGUAAUUAAAAGUUUAAUGCUUUGUGUAUAAAUAUUUUAGGUGGUUGAAUUAAGUAAAUUAUUUAAGUUAUUGAUUUUAGAUCAAGAAGCAAGAGGAUCUGUUGAUAACGGUGGAAAGGAGAAGGUUGUCGAGUAAUCAUCUUCGAUUUUAGUAGCUAUCAUAAUAUGGUAAGUUCAUAGUCUUUGACUCAAAUUGUUUGUUUAAUUUAAUUAUUUGGUUGAUUUUAAUAUCAAAUUAUAUCUUUUAAUAUAAUCGGUUACAUUUAUCAAAUUCAUAUCAUAGAAUAAUAUAUGAAUCAUUAUGAGAUAGAUAAAAAAAAUGUUACCAUGGUUGUUGUGAUUGAUUAAAUUAUGAAAUGUGAUAAUGAUGACUUAAUUCUUGGCGAGCAAAUAUUUGUCGAUUAAUCCGACUAGUGUUGGGCACACAUUUAACAUCGUCGGUUCAUCCGACUAGCGCAGGGCGCAAAUAUUUGUCAUUUAAUCUAAGUAGUGUUGGGCACACAUUUAACAUCGUCGGUUCAUCCGACUAGCGCUGGGCACAAAUAGUUGACGGUUAAUUCGACUAGUGUUGGGCACACAUUUAACAUCGUCGGUUCAUCUGACUAGCGCUGAACGCAAAUCUUUGUCGAUUAAUUCGACUAGUGCUGGGCACACUUUUACUAUCGUCGGUUUAUCCAACUAGCACUGAGUGCAAAAUUUAUUACGAUUUAUUCGUCAGGUACUAGGUGUCAAUAACAGGUUGGUUAAAAUUAAUAUAGUUUAACUUAUUUCUGGAAGAUGGUUGGUAAAUGAGAGAUUUCAUGAAUUUUGUAUGAAAUGUUCAUGAGUAAAUUAUGGUAUAUUAUGCGGUAAUAACCAUUACAAAUUAGAUAUUUGAAUUGAUGGAUUAUUAAACUUAUAUGUAGUUCUUGUAUUAAGGAAAUUAUUUAGUAAUUGAUCAUUCUUUGUGUGUGCAGGUUAGGUACUUAUAUUUUGACUAUUGACUCAGCAUCCAACAACAAAUCCUAAACUCAACGUUAGUGAUAUAUUUCUUUUUGUUGUGUCUUGGCAUGUACCUAGGGUGAUAAAUUUUUGGGAAACGAUUUUUUGGUAUAUAGUUGAAUUUAGUAUAGGUUAUUUGUUUUGGGUGUUGCCAUAUAAGCUUUGAAUUAUAUUUUGCCUUAAAAGUAAAUGCUUGUAUAUAUAUAGAUGCGGUUAAUAUAAGUAUGUUUUUAUUAAAUUGACUCUUUUGAAUGCAUAUGUUAUAUGUUAAGUGAUAUUGAAUGAGAUAAAUUGGAUUGGUGGUUAAUGAUCUUUAGGUGUAUGUUUGUGUAUUUUUGGGUGAAAGAUGUUGCAUAUGGUUGAUGUUUUAGAUCCUAUAGAAUUGGCUCUUUAGAUGUAAAUGAAUUUGGUCAUUUUGGUUCGUUUUUUAUAUGGUAGGAUAGAGUAAUUAAAUUUGAUGAUAACUUAAUUGUGAUGUAAGAUGAAUGUAUGAUUUGAUCAAGGUUAAAUGCUUUUGUAUAUGUUGAUUAGAAUGUGGUACCAAUGAGGGCACAUUGGUUAGGCACCUAGGUUGUAUGAAAUUGGCAUGUUUUGAGUUGUUUUGAAGAGUAUUUGAUGAUGUUUAGAGUAUGGUUUUAGGCUUGAAUUGUUAACCAAGUUAUGCGUGAUUAUUUCCUUAUUUUUUAAGUAAAUUUUGGUACACAUGGCCUGGGACACAGGCUGCCACAUGGCCGUGUGUCUCAUAUUUUCAAAAUUUUCAAAUUUUUUCCUAAAUUUUCUGUUUUGUUUUGAAUUAACCCCAAAAUGUUUCCAAUACAUUUUUUAGGGCCCCGUAAACUCAUUUUAAGGCCCAUAAACGUAUUUUUAUUGUGAAUGGAUUGUGAUUUGAUAAAUUGUAAUUAUAAUUCAAUAUUUAUUUGUAAGUGGCGUUUAAUGUUAGAAAUGUUAUCGUAAUACUCCAUGACCCUAAUCUGGCGACAAAGAUUGGUUAGGGAUAUUACAUUUAGUGGUAUCAAAGCUAUAGGUUUAAUCGAUUCUCGAACUAAAUCGAGCUUAAAAUUGAGUCUAGAAGUACAUGCCAAAGUUGAAUUGAAUUUGAGUCGGGAUUGGAUGUUGAUUAAUAUUAUCCCUAUCUUAUAGUUAAAAGAUGUCAGAAGAUGCUAAUAAUGCAGUGGACCAAGGAAUUCAUAUUGGUGAUGAUUCUAUUGAGGAAUUUGAUGAAACUGAGUUAGUAACACCGAGUAUUCAGUUUGAUGGUGAUCAACAACCAGGUCCUAAAAUAGGCACUAAUGAAGGACAAAAUGAUACUAAUAUAUUACGAGUCAUUGCGAAAGCUUUUCAAAGGGUAGUGGGAGUCACUUCUCCAGUAAUACCCGCACAUAUGAUUAAACGAGCUCCUAUAAAGAAUUGAGGAGAUACGAUGCUAUAGAAUUUGCGGGAUUAAAAGGUGUUGAUUCAUCAAUGGUUGAAAUGUAGCUGGAAUUAACUACUCGAGUUCUUUAACAACGUGAAUGUACUUCCGGAGGAGAAGCUUACACAUGGUGGCAAAUCAUCACGCGACAUGUUCCUACAGAGGCUAUAGAUUGCAAAUUCUUUCAAGCGAAAUUUCAAAAGAAAUAUGUCAGGGAACUAUAUCUCGAGGAUCAAAAAUAGGAAUUUUUUUUGUUGAAGCAAGAAGAUUCAUCUAUGGUAGAUUAUGAAUGAUAAUAUGUCUAUCUUAGCAAGUAUGCUAUGGAACUUAUCCCUACCGAAUAAGCAAGUUGUAAGUCUUUCUUGUGGGAAAUGCGAGAUGAAAUUUGAACUCAGCUAGUAGCAUUAAAAAGUAAGGGGUUCGAUGAUCUGUCUGAAUGGGCAAAAUGCUAAAACAACCCUUGGGAUUAUGUAAGAAAUUUGAACCUUCUCGUGUUAUGAGAAAGGAUUUUAGGACUCCUAGUUCAUAUUUAGUACCAAAGAAAAGCAAAGGGUCUUGAGAUUUUGGAAAGACAGUUGCAAGAUCGGCGACAUUGAAUAGAAUACGAUACUUGCAACCUACAAUUUCUUAAAUGCCGAUCUGCGAACAUUGUGGUAAGAAGCACUGGGGAAAAUGUUAGAAAUUGACAAAGGGUUAUUACCGUUAUGGAUCGUUGGAGCAUUUCACUCGUGAGUGUCUGAAGAAUGAAAAUAAUACACCUGAUGACACACAGAGAACCACCUCUACAGUUAAGGGUCGAGGGAUGAGUAGAGAUGGAUUAGUUACGAGAGGUGGACCGAAAAAAUAAAGGAAAGCAAUCACUCAUCAGCUUGAGGCCAGAGCGCUAGCUCGUUCUUAUGUUGUGCAGACACGUGAUAAGGAGAUGCUACCAAUGUUGUAGCAGGAAUUUUUUUUGUUCUUCUCUACACCUGUUUAUAGUUUGAUUGAUCUUGGUUAUUCCUAUUCGUAUGUUAAUACCGACCUAGUGAAAUCUGGGAGUAUGAAAUCUGAGUUGUCAAAAGUAGCCAUGUUUGUAUCAUGUCCGUUGGGCGAAACAUUGUUAGUUAAUCAGGUCUGUAAACGAUGUCCACUGAAAAUUUAAAAUUUGACAUUUUCAGUAGACUUAUUAAUCAUGCCUUUUGGUGAUUUUGACACAAUACUGGGUAUGAACUGGCUAACUGAACACAGAGUAGUUCUCGACUAUUGGAAGAAAAAUUUUUAGUCCAAGAUUCGAAUAGUAAGAUUAUUGAAGUUAAUGACGUUAAAACGAGUGGUUUAACUCAAAUUAUUUUUUUGAUCCAAGUUGAUAAAUUAUUGCAGUUAGGUUGUGAAGUUUUCCAGCUUAUGUUAUAAAUUCAAUGACUAGGAUAGCAAAAUCAUUAAUAUUCAAACUGUUUGUGAAUUUUCUGAUGUGUUUCUUAAGGAAUUCUCGGGAUUACCACCUAAUCGGGAGGUUGAAUUCACAAUUUAAGUAUUCUCUGGUAUAACUCCGGUGUCAACACCCCCUUAUCGUAUGGCACCGGUUGAACUAAAGGAAUUGAAAAUUCAACUACAAGAAUUACUGGACCGCAGCUUUAUACGUCCUAGUAUAUCGCCCUGGGGAGCUCCAGUUUUGUUCAUUAAAAACAAAGAUGGUUCGAUUCGAGUUUGUAUUAACUAUCGUCAAUUGAAUAAGUUGAUAAUUAAGAAUUGGUACCCUCUUCCUCGUAUCGAUGAUUUGUUUGAUCAGCUAAAGAGAGCUUUAGUCUUUUCUAAGAUUGAUUUAAGAUCAGGUUAUUAUCAGUUGAAAGUGAAAGAUAGUGACGUACCGAAAACUGCCUUCGUUAUGGCCACUACAAAUUUUUAAUGAUGCCCUUAGGAUUGACGAACGCUCCUGUGGCAUUUAUGGAUCUCAUGAACUGCAUCUUUUAGCCCCACCUGGAUCAGUUCGUGGUAGUUUUUAUUGAUAAUAUUUUGAUCUAUUCAAAAUCGGAAGCUGAACAUGAACAACAUUUACGUAUUGUUUUACAAGUGUUGUGAGAAAAAAAACUCUACAAGAAACUUAGUAAAUGUGAAUUUUGGCUAUCAGAAGUAGUACUUCUGGGUCAUGUCAUUUCUGCAGACGAGAUUGAUCCAAAAAAGAUUGAAGCCAUAAUUCAGUGGAAAGCACUGAGGAAUGUGUCAGAAGCCCAUAGUUUUCUUGGUUUAGCUGAUUAUUACCAAAGAUUUGUUAAUGGAUUUUCUAAGAUAGCCUUGCCGAUGACAAAGUUGUUGCAAAAGAACAUACAGUUUGUUCGGAACGAGCAGUGCUAAGAAAGUUUUGGGAAACUGAAACAAAUGUUGAUUGAAGCACCAGUUUUAACUUUACCGAAAUCAGGAAAAAGACUUGGUGGUUUACAGUGAUGCCUCAUUGAGUUUUUUGGGUUACGUCUUGAUGUAAGAAGCGAAGGUUAUUGCAUAUGUGUCUCGGUAGUUAAAAACGCAUGAAUGCAAUUAUUUGAUACAUGAUUUAAUGUUUGCUGCUAUAGUUUUUGCUCUAAAGAUUUGGAGGUAUUACCUGUACGGUGAAAACUGUCAUAUAUUCACUGAUAAAAAAGUCUUAAAUAUCUCUUAACUCAAAAAGAGUUGAAUUUAAGAUAACUUCGUUGGGUUGAGCUAUUGAAAGAUUAUGAUUGUGUUAUAGAUUACCACCCUGGUAAAGCUAAUGUCAUUGCGGAUACGUUGAGAAAAAAGCUGUAGUUGAGCUGCGAGCGAUGUUUGCUCAACUCAAUACUAAUAGUGACGGUAGUUUACUUGCUGAGUUGAAAGUCAAACCAGUGUUAUUUGAUCAGAUUAGAGAAGCACAGUUAGUGGAUAACAAGUUGGUUGAAAAGAGAAAAAUGGCUCAAGACGGCUCAAUUGGAAAUUUUAGCAUUGAUGAUUGUGAUUGUCUGCGAUUUCGUAAUCAAAUUUGUAUUCCAAAUGUUGCUGAGUUAAAAGAAUUGAUACUUGGUGAAUCUCAUGAGAGCCCUUUUGCUUUACACCUUGGUGAAACGAAGAUGUAUCGCGACCUUCAAGAGUUAUACUGGUGGCCUGACAUGAAAAGGGAAAUUGUUGAAUUUGUAGCUAGAUGUCUAACCUGUCAACGGGUUAAGGUGGAACAUCAAGUCCCCAAAAGAUUACUUCAAUCUAUUUUUAUUCCUGAAUGGAAAUGGGAGCGUAUAACAAUAUAUUUCAUGACAAGAUUACCAUUGUCCCGGGGAAAGAAAAAUGUUGUUUGGGAGAUAGUUGAUUGACUUACGAAAUCGACCCAUUUUAUUACAGUCAGAACCAAUUGGUCACUUCUGAAACUUGCUCAGAUUUACAUUUAGGAGAUUGUUAGAUUGCAUGGCAUACCUAUGUCAAUUAUCGUUGAUCGGGAUCCCUGAUUCACUUCGAGAUUUUGGAAACGGUUGCAUGAAUCACUCAGUACAAGACUCAAUUUUAGCACGACUUUUCAUCCGCAAACGAAUGGGCAAUCUGAGUGUGUUUUUCAGAUUUUAGAAGAAAUGCUUCGAGCCUGUGUAAUUGAUUUUGAUUCAGAUUGGGAACAUUAUUUACCGUUGGCUGAGUUUUUGUAUAAUAAUAGUUUCUAAUCGAGUAUUCAAAUGGCUCCGUAUGAAGCCUUAUAUGGUCGCAGAUGUCAAACCCUUGUCUGCUUAUUAGAAUUAAGUGAGAAGAAAGUAGUUGGACUGGAAUUAAUCCAAGAAAUGGAAAAUAUGGUUAAAGUGAUUCGAGAUAGAUUGAAAGCAACUUCCAAUAGACAAAAAUCUUAUACAGAUUUGAAGCGACGAGACAUUGAUUUUGCUAUAGGUGAUAAAGUAUUUUUAAAGAUUUCACUGUGGAAGAAAUUUUUGUGAUUUGGUCGAAAAGGGAAAUUGAGUCAUCAUUUUAUAAGACUGUAUGAACUUAUUGAAAGAAUUGGACCUAUUGCUUAUCGGUUGGUAUUGCUUUUAGAAUUGCAGAAAAUGCAUGAUGUUUUCUACGUGUCCAUGCUUAGGAGAUAUCAUUCGAAUCCGUCUCACAGUAUUUCAAUAGAAGAUAUAGAAAUUCAGCCUGAUUUAUUUUACAAAGAAAAACUGGUUGAAAUUUUAGCUCGUGAGGUGAAGGAGUUGCAUAACAAACAUAUUCCUCUUGUGAAAGUUUAUUGGUGUAGUCAGAGCAUCGAAGAAGCAACUUGGGAGUCAGAAGAAACGAUGAGAUAUCAAUAUCCUCACCUAUUUUCAGGUAAAUUUCGGGGACGAAAUUUAUUAAGGGGGAGAGAAUUGUAACAACCCGAAAGUCAGUUGUGUCGGGAAGCAUAUUUUUGGAGUCUCAUUUCCAUAAACCGAGCUUGUAAAUAUUUUUAUUAAAUAUUCACGGAGUUAUGUUAGAAGUAAAUUAAAUUUUGGUUAGGUAAUUUUAUUGAAUUAGAGUUUUUCUUAGGUAAAGGGAUUUAAUUGAAUAAGUGUUAAAAGUUGAAUUUUUAAUUAAAUCAUAAGUGAACAUCUAACAAGGGGCUUAUUAGGUAAAUAAACCGUUGAUCUAGUUAGUGGAUAGCUUGGAUUAAAAAUAUGUUAUAUGUUUUAUUAUUAUAAUAAAACAUAAGUUAAAUUAUUAAUAUUAGAUAAUAAUGAAAUGAAAGGAUAAAAAUUAGAAAACAAAUAGCUUAGUGGAAAGAGAAAAAUAAAUAAAGGGAAGCUUAUUGUUUUUCUUUCCAUGCCGAAAAUUAAGAAGGAAGGUUAGCACCAUUCAGCCAUUGUUGUUUAUGUUUUAAAGCUCAAAUUGGUUUGUAACCUCCUAAACCUAGCCUAGACGUUAUUGUCGAAUCGGGAAGGCCACAUUAAACACCUAGGCUAGGUUAAAAAACCAAAUAAUAAUAAUAUAACCUAAAAUAUAAUUAAGUUAAAAUAAUAUGAUAGUUAAAAACCUAAAAUAUCACUAAUUUAAUCUCGAACAGUCCCAAACCAUAGUUUUAAGAAACUUUACAAUCCAAAACCAAAUAAUAAUAAUAAUAAUAUAACCUAAAAUAUAAUUAAGUUAAAAUAAUAUGACGAAGUAAAGUCCAAAGUAUGUCGUAUAUCCACAUGCCAAUUUUGAUCCUAAGUUCGAUCAUUACCUGAGAAGUUGAGAUAAUGGGGGAGCUUAACAAGCUCAGUGUGAGUCUAAACGAUUAUUAAGCAUUCAUACAUGCAAUUUCAUAGAGGUACCAAUAGCACAAUCAAACAUUGAUAGUAAUAAUUUUCAAAUGCACAUGAUCGUGAAAAAUGCACAUGUGAGAUCCUACCCAUACCAUCUGCUACACACCACGAGUUCCCUAGAACCUGUCUGCCAAACUCCAACGUAUGUGAGCAAUGCUCGAUGCGGUAAAACCACCAAUAAUCAAUAAUGCAGUGAAACUGCCAACUUAAUAAUGCGAUAUAAUUGCCAAUGCCCUCGGCACCUCAAAUGCAGUGCACUGACUAAAAAUAGAUGUGAACUUAUUAUGUCACUGGUACUCCACGGAACUCCUCCGUCAACCACAAAAUCCCAUCCCAAUGCACAUGCAAUAUGUCAUACAAAUUCAUACACAAUCACAUUUCAAUACUUUUCACAUUUAUUCGACAUGCUCAACAUGUCCUCAAUAACCACAUACUGUUGAAAUAUGUAUAUGUUUUAAAUUUAUUUAGGUAGAUAAAUCUUAUUUAGGUAUAUAAGCUUUAUUUAUAUUCUAGAAAUAUUUUAUUUUAUCUUUUAGUAGUCUAUUAGAAUAAGGGAAUUAUUUUCCCAAUUAGGAUUACGACCUUUUUCUCUAUUUAAAUUCAGUUCUUUAGCUAAUAAAAAAUAUAACAGUUUUAUUAAAAGCUCUCUUGAAAACUUUCAUGGUAUCAGAGCAAGGUUAAAUUCUAGCAACAUCAUGGUUAAGACAGUAAUAGCCCGAUUUUGGGUCUAGUCAGAAUAGUAGUUUUGGGACCACAAAUCUGACGAGAAAAAUUAUUUUAAUAUUAUUUUUUGUAUUUAUAGCAUGUGAUUAUAUAUGUGUGAAAGUUACGUAAAGAAAUUUUACUGUUUGAAUGCUUAAUUCGGUAAAAAGGACUAAAUCAUGUAAAGAGUAAAAGUUGUGUUCUAUAAGCUAAAAGUGUCUAAUAGCUAUACAACAUUAAAGUUUAAGUCCUGAUAUGGUAAUUAGACCAUAAAUGGUGAUAGUGGAAUGUGUUGGCUUGGCAUUUUUUAAAUUAGUAAUAUUUUAUAAGGUUAUAAAGGUAAACUAAUUAAUAAUGAUAAAAUAACAUGAGAAUUAUAUGUCCAUCUUCUUAACAAAAACACUUCAACCGAUUCUAACAUAGAGAAACCAUAGCUGGGGUUCAGCCAUGCUUAUUUUGCUUGAUUGGUAAGAUAUUUUGUCCCGUUUUUAAUUAUUUCUAUGUUUUUGAAAUUGUUGUUUCGUGUUCUAGCUAGCCCAUGCCCUAAUUUUUGAAUUGGUUGAUGAAUUUGUGAGUUUCCAUUGAUGAUAGCUUGAUGUUUUUGAAUGUUGAUGAUGGAAAAUGAAUAAUUGUUGAUAGAUUAAUAUGUUUUGUAAAGUGAUUUUUGACAAAAAUGUCAAAUAGGGAUUAAAUUGUGAAAUAUGCAAAUUGAGUGGUUGAAAUGUGAAAUAAUGAAAGUUUUGGGCUACUGGGGGCACUAUAGUAAUUCGGCUUAGCUUGGGUUAUAUUGAAUUGUGUGAAUUUUGUGAAUUUUUGAAAUAAAGACUAAAUUAAAUAAAUGUGAAACUUUAGGGGCUAAAGUGCAAAAAUGUCCAAAUAGGUAUUUUUGGAUGAAAUUGAAUGAAUAGGUGAUUAAAUGAGUUAAAUUUGAAUUCAUAUAGAUCAAGAAAGAAAGAAAUCGGAUUUAGAUCAGGAGAAAUUAAAAGUUGACGAGUAGUUGAUCUGAUCCGUUUGUUUCCGUACGAGGUAAGUUCAUAAGUAAAUAAAUAUUUUUGAAUUUAAAAGUAUAUAUUUUAUACAUUGCCGAAUUUGAUUUGUAUAUAGAUAUGCAUUGCCGAAUUUGAUUUAUAUAUGGUUAUACAUUGUCAAAUUUGAUUUGUAUAUGGAUAUACAUUGCCGAAUUGAUUUGUAUGUAGAUAUACAUUGCCGAAUUUGAUUCGUAUAUGAAUAUAUAUUUCUGAAUUGAUUUGGGCAUUGGAUGACUGAUUUCGUGCAUGAAUUGAUUUAAUUUCAAAGUCGAAAGCUCCGAAUGAACCUUAGUAAAUGUAUUGGAUAUUGAUGUCAUGAUAUUAGGACUUCCGAGGUGUGAUUUCAUGUAAGACCAUAUUUGAGCUAUUGGCAUCAAUUUGACAUUUCGUGUAAGACCAUAGCUGGGCUAUUGUCAUCGAUACGAGAUUUCCAUGUAAGACCAUGUCUGGGACAUGGCAUUGGUACGAUACAUUAUGUACGACUUUUCCCAAGUACCCUUAGUGUUCCAAGGGGUUCAACGGGUAAUCCAAAGAUCAUGUCAAAGAAAAGACAAGGUAUGAUCAUGUUGAAAGGAUACAGGUAUGUACGAAAAAUUCAUGAGUAAUGAACUCGAUGCAUAUUGGACAUUUUGGAAAGAAUGUAAAUGAGUAAGUCAUACUUAUGAGAAUGAUCUUGUGACGACCUUGUGAUUAUAAGUCUAUACUUAUGAGGUAUAAAUAUGUGGUAAAUUUGAUUGAUGAAUGUGUGAGGCUUUUAGGCCAAAUUAAAUUGAGACAUGAUAUGUUUAAGUCUUUGUUGUUGGUGUAUAGGUGAGAUUGGCCAAUAAAUGACAUGUGAAUAUAUGAUAAUGAUUAGCUAUUGGAGUGGCUAGUUAUGGAUAUGCUUUGGUGUUAUGUGUGUAUAAAUAAAUGUUAAUACAAAGAAAUCAUGAAAGAGUAAAAUUUGCAAUAAAACAGUUUUGGACAACAGCAGUUGUAUAACUUUGAAAAAUAACCAAAAAUUGUGGAAAUCGCAUUAGAGGUUGAAUAAGACAUGAAAUUAGAGGUUAUUGAUCUAGUUUCACAUAGAAUAAACGGUGUAAUCAAAAGAAUCUCAUAUUAUGAGAUAUUUGAAUUUUUGUAAGAUAAGGUCAGAAUGAUUUCGGAAUCCCUUGUUCUGACUUUGGAAAAUCAUUAAAAAUUGUAUAAAAAUAAUUAUGGGUUAGAAUUUAUAUGAUUAAAAUUAUUAAUGAGUCUAUUUUCAAUAGAAACAAAUGGGAACAUCAUCCAAAUUUCGUACUAAGAUAUAAUUAAUUUUUAGAGAAGAAAGGUCAGAACUGUCAGACAGUAGAACAGGGACGACUUUGAAGAAUUAACUGUACUUAUUGGCUAAACCAAAAAUUCAUGGGUAAAUAUGAGCUUUAGAUGAUAAAGGAUUUAAUAGAAGUGCAUAAUUGAAGUUGAGGUCCUUAAAUGGUAAUUAGACCAUUAUAUUUUCAUGGACAAAAAUGGGCAUGCAUAGAUAAAAAUAACUAAAGUUUUAAUGAAGGGCAUUUUCGUCAUUUGGUAAUAAAAAGAAUUAAAAGGGAAAAGGAUGGCAAAAUGUGCUCAUCUUCUUCCAUAAGGGCCGAAACUUCAAGGGACUCCAUAACUAGGGUUUUUUCACCUUCUCAAGCUUAUAGUAAGUGCAUCCAAGCCCCGUUUUUAAUUUUUUCUAUGUUUUUGGAGUCCACGUAGCUCAGUUUAGCUUAUUCUACCAUUAAUUCAUGUUAGGGUUUAUAUUUGGAAAAAUACCCAUAGGUGAAAUGUGUUUAUUUUAAUGUUUUAUAGUAGAAUAUGAAGUUUUAAAUUAUGUUAAACAACUUUUGCUAGGCGAUUUUAAGUGAAAACGAGUAAAACGACAUAAUCGGUAAAAAUACCUAAUGUUCAUAAGUAAAUGUUAGAGUGGGAAUUUGAUGUUUCCAUAGAAGGGAAAGAUGUUCAGCAUAUCAUAAAACAUAAAAAUAAGGGAUGAAUUUUAAUUUCCGAGCUUUGGGGAAAAAGUGUAAAUAUGCAAAAGUUUAGGGGCAAAAUCAUAAUUUUUCCAAAGUUUGAGUCAAGGACUGUUUUGAUGAAUGGGAGUAUUAAAUAAGCUAAAUUUACUAUUAUAGAUCAAGAGGAACGAAAUCCACAGUUGGACUGGGGAAAGAAAAAGGUUGAGGAUUAAGUUGCUAUAUUUGAUCGUAUUUUGUACCGAGGUAUGUUUAUGGUAAAUAAAUGCACUAUUUCAAUAAUUAUUAUUAAUGUUGUUACUUUCCAUCAAUUAUGUACUUAUUUCAAGAAAUUAUUUAAUGUUGACUCAAGUGUGAGAUGAUAAAGAAUUAGUGUUAAAAAGUCCCGUUGAAACAUUAGGAAUGUAUCAAAUACAUAUGUCAUGACAUUAGGGGGAUGAGACCCCAUGUAAGACCAUGUCUGGGACAUGGCAUUGGCAUUAUUGAGGUUAUUAGAGGUCCCAUGUAAGACCAUGUCUGGGACAUGGCGUUGGUACCGAGAUGAGAGGUCCCCCGUAAGACCAUGUUUAGGACAUGGCAGGGGCACUGAUAUGAGAACUCUCAUGUAAGACCAUAUCUGGGAUAUGGCAUUUCCAGUACAGGAAACAUCCCAUGUAAGACCAUGUCUGGGACAUGGCUUUGGCAUGUUAUUAUCUGAUAGGAGACCCGAGUAUCCUUAGUAUUCCAAGUGUUUCAACGGGCUAGUAAAUAGACUAUGUUACAUGAAAGUUCAGGUAAAAGCAUAAUAAAUAGAUUUAGGUGAGUUAUAAAGGUUAAGAAUAUCUCAGUUAUCAGUCGAGAAAAAAAUUUCAGCAAGGGAGGAGUAACUUAUAAUCAUGAGUUAUUUAAGUAAGCAAGUAAGUAAACAAGUAAGAGAGUAAGUAAAGAAGAAAGUAAAGAUCAUGAUACUUGAUGAUAAUUUAUGAGUAUAAUUAUUUAUGAUAAAUUUUGUUAUUUAUUUGCUUGUAAACUUACUAAGCUUUAUGCUUACCCCCUUUAUUUUCUUUCUUUUUAUAGUAUCACUAAGCCAAUUCGGGAAUUGUAAGGGUGCCGGAGAUCGUUUAACACUAUCAACAGACCAUCUCGGUAUUUUGUGAUUCGAAACGUUUUAAGUUAUGGCAUGUAUAGAGACUUAGUCAUUUUUUGUGUGUGUCCUUAUGAUAUGGCUAAUGAAUAACAUGUAAAUACUCGAUAAUGAUUAGUUAUUUAAAUGACUAUUUAAGAACAUGUUUUGGUGUUAUGUAUGCCUAAAUGAUAGUUAAUACAAAGAAAUUAUAAAAGAGUAAAAAUUUGCAAUGGAACAGUUUUUGGAGAGCAACAUUGACAUGAUUUUGAAAAAUCACCAAGGAUGGUAGAAAUGGAAUUAGAGAGUGAAUGAGAUAUAGAAUUAAAACUUAUCAAGUCUAUUUUCACAUGAAAUAAAUGGUGUAGGCAAAAGGGAUUUUAUAUUUCGUAAUAUUUGAAUUUUAGUGAGACAGGGUCAGAACGGUUUUUGAAGUCCCCUGUUCUGACUUUAGGAAAUCAUUAAAAAUUGUACAGAAAGAAUUAUGAGUCAUAAUUUAUAUUUCUAGAUUCCUUAGUGAGUUUAUUUUCAAUAGAAAUGAGAAAAAGCACCAUAUGAAGCUCGUACAAUGAGAUAAUUGAUUUCUAGUGAAUAGAGGUCAGAACCGUUACACAGUGAAACAUGGGAGACUUUAAUGAAUUAACUGUACUAUUUGGCUAACCCAAAAAUUCUGGAAAUUUUAUGAUAAGAAGAUAUAAGAGUCUAGUUUUAGGAAACAUUUACGGAUCUAAAGUUUGAGUUUUGUAACUCGAGUUAUAAUUAAAUUAGUGACUGUCACGCAAGUGGACAGUUUUAUUAUGAAUAGUGCAAUAAUUUAUUUUAAUUUAUUUGAGUAUUCGGAAAAUUUUUAAUGUUCUCGGUUUUGACCCGAACCAUUUUUGUUCCAUGUUUUAGGGUCUCGAGGGUCCUUUUUAGGCGCAUAUUGAUUGAACGUGGGUGAAUUAAUUUUAAAAGCAAUUUUUUAUGCUCGAAACUAGUAAGUUAAGUCAGGUAACGCCUCGUGCUCGACUCCGGCAAUGGUCUCGGGUAAGGGGUGUUACAGUAGCAACCAAUUAUAGAGGUUGAAUUAUUCAAUGUUUGGGGUAUGGAUUUUAUGGGACCAUUUCCAAGUUCAUUUGGAAAUCUUUAUAUAUUAGUAGCUGUUGGCUACAUCUCGAAGUGGGUUGAAACUAUUGCAGUCCCAAAGGAUGAUGCAAAGACAGUGCUUAAUAUUUUUUUCACAAGCAUAUACUCACCCGCUUUAGCACACCAAAGGCAUUGAUUAGUGAUCAGGGUACACACUUUCAUUGCAACCAAGUGGUAGUCGCACUGAAGAGAUAUGGAGUUAAUCAUAGAAUGACUACUACUUAUUAUCUACAAACUAAUGGACAAGCCGAAAUAUCAAAUCGACAAAUUAAAAACAUUCUUAAGAAGGUUGUGAACCCUUUGAGGAAAGAUUUGUCUUCCAGACUAGAUGAUGUUUUAUGGGCAUUGCGGACAGCAUACAAAACUCCAUAAGGGAUGUCGCCGUAUCAAUUGGUUUUUGGGAAAGCAUGUCACUUGCCAGUUGAACUGGAGCACAAAGCAAUGUGGGCAAUUAAGCAAGUGACCAUGGACUAUGAAGCUGCUGGAAAGAAAAGGCUAUUGGAUAUCACUAAACUAGAGGAGAUUAGGCGAAAUGUCUAUGAAAACGCUGCAAUUUACAAGGAAAAGACCAAACGAUGGAAUGACAAAAUUAUUUAGUAGCGAAAAUUUAUUGCUGGUCAACAAGUUUUAUUCUUCAAUUCUAGACUGAAACUACACCCGGGUAAAUUGCGCACUCGUCGGUCUAGACAGUUGGAAGUUGUCAAAGCAUUUCCAUAUGGUGUAGUCACAAUCAGAGAUUUACAUGAUGGAUACCAGUUCAAAGUGAGUGGCCAGCGAUUGAAACAUUAUUUUGAGAAUAUUGAUCAAAAACAGGCAUAGACCAUUAAAUUGGUUGAAAAUUUUUUAUUUUUAUGAAAUUUAUUAUUAUGUAAUUUUAUUUUAUUUUUGUUUCUAUUCAAGUUUGUUUUACUUUUUUUUUCAAAACAAUUAGAUACCAUUGUCAACGCACUUGGGUUUUAUUGUCAACGCAGUUCAUAUUAUUGUACUGUCACGUAUGACUCACCACGAAUGAAGGGCAGAUCAAAACUUUCAGAUCCCACCAUUUGAUCAAAAGUGACUUAGCCGUCUGGUUUGUCUAAACGGCUGAAAUUCCCAUUUGACACAUUUAUUCUCUCCAGCUUUAUAUCUCUUUACAUAAAAAAAUCACGCAUUUCCAUCUUCUUCUUUCACUCACUAUAAACCCCCUUCGUUGUGCCGACUAUACCACAUACAUCGCAACCAUUUUUAUUCACUUUCUCUUCCCCAAGCUCGUACCUUUACAACUUUAAACCAUCUCCACAUCACAAAACAAACAAAAUAUGGCAAGAACAAGAGGAUCAGUCAAGAAAGCCACCAAGCCUAUUAAAGAACACUCAUCCUCUGCAACUAUAGUUCGUGAAUCGAAAUCCUCUAUGCCAGCAAAGAAAAAAAAAGUUGAUGAUCUUUUUAACGAAAGUAGCCAAGGACCAAUUUCAAGAUAACAUUUUGAAGUGAUACUUUCGCCCAGAAUAGGGCAUUCUCCUUUCGUAACAACAAGACUUGGGCAAGCAAGUCAACAAAACCAUCUCUAAGCCGAUGUGGAAGACUUUUUGCACUCAUCCUGAAAGCUAUUCUCCUUCAUUGGUAUGUGAGUUUUACACUAACCUUUAUGACCAUGAGUUAGAGUUUAUAUUUGUUCAAGAAGGUUUAAUCCCAUGGGAUGCUAAAAGAAUCAAUAAGCUGUACAACACUAAAGUAGAUGUAGAUGAACACUUUGAGUUUAUUGAGGAUAUCACAGACGACAAAAGGGACCUGCUGGUGAAGGAUUUAUGUGUCGAAAGAGCAUUAUGGACGGGUUCACAUCAAAAGAAUUAUACGAUGCACCGCCGCUUCCUGACACUGCAAAGCAAAAUUUGGUUUCAUUUUGUCAACUACGGGCUACUGCCAUCUACUCACAGCACCACAGUCAACCUCGAUAAAAUGUGCCUAAUACAUUCAAUUAUCAAGGGUAGAAAGAUUAAUGUCAGCGUAAUACUCCACCAAGAAAUUAGUGAUUGCGCUACAAGGCAAACUGGAAUUUUGGUUUUCCCAUCGUGGUGAUGCUACUGUGCCAGCAAAAAAGGAUAGUGCCUUGUGAUGAUAAAGUGGUCCUAAGGAAUAAAGGCCCGAUAAAUUAAGCCUCUAUUUAUAGAAUGACCCAUGGCAAAGAUACACUAACAAUGAAGGAAACAGAGACAAGCAAGACAAGAAAGGGCAAAACCAAGGCAGAAAGUAAUGGAACAAACCUGACUGCAGAGACAUUAUUUUUGGGCAAAAUGUAGGAUAUCGAGAAGUUGGUCAAUUCCAUCAGCAAAUCAGGCUUGUCGCUACAAUAGAGGAUAUGGAUAGAUCACAAAAUUUGUUCUGCUCUUAUACCAAGGCCUGUAACAACUCUAUUCUAGUUGCAUUAAGUUAGUUAAGCCCAACCCCACUCCCAAAAUUUCCAAUGUUCCCACCAAUCAUUUGAUAUUAUGACCUCUCAUCCGAGGAAGAUGACUUAAAAGACAGAGACAGAUCAAUAGAAUCCCCUCCCAUUAUGCACGUCUUUGAGGAUAAGAAAGAAGAUGACUCAAGGGACAUUGAAGAGUGCAUGCGAAGGACUGAUAGCUUGGUCGAGGGCAACUUAAAUCCUGGUCAAGAGGCACCUACUGUUGAGGAGGAAGUUGAUGUGGGAGAGGAGGAAAUCUGGGUUAUAGUUGUGAACGAGAAGGUCGAGGAAGAAAAUAUUGAAAAGAAGUUGAUGAGAAAUAAUCUGCGGAGAACAUUGUCAAUGCAUAUGAGUUUUUGGGUGCAACUACAGAUAAUCUGGAGCGAGAUAGAGCUAGACCGGCAAAAGCUGUGGAGGUAACCAAUGAGAAGCACCAAAACUCAUUGGCGAUAGUGGUCUAUACAAAACCACUCAAGGUGACCCCUCCUACACAAGAAGCAUCCGAUGAUACCGGGGUAGUGCCAAAAACUGAGGAGUAAUCCGAGGACUGUGUGAAGCCCAAAGAAAAGAAGAGAAAGAGCUCUAACGACAAAAAGUGAAAGAAUGAGGAGAAAAAGAUGAGGAAGAAGAAACAUUGUGCAGCCACAUUGAUGGCUGAGGAAAACUGAGUUAGUUUAUUUUAAGUUUAAAUUGUAGUAUUCAUGCAUUAUAUGUAGUUGUAAUUUUCAUUUUGUUAGUGCACAUUGUCGUUGCAUUUUUAUUGCCAUUGCAUUUUAAUGCUAAUGCAUUAGGGACAAUGCAACUUUAAGUUUGGGGGAAUGCAUAUGGGGUUUGGAAAUACACCCACAUUUCAAAAAAAAUUGAGUUUAAUGAAGCAUAUAUUUUCUCCCUACUUAUUGGUUAAUUUGUCCCCAUUUAGUUAUCUUUAGCACAUAUUUUAGCAUUUUCAGUUCAAUAAAUUGUAUUUUAUAACUCAGUGGAUCUUAACCUAUUUAUCCUUAAUUUCGUCAUGUUUUGAUACUUAAAUUCGUCAUGUUUUGAUACUGAUGUCGUUACAUGAGUAUUUCCAAAUUGCACCUAGAAUUCUCGCUGCACCUGAAAGCUAUCCCGAUAAGAACAAAAAGGUGUAAGCUGUCCAGUCUACUACAACUAACUUGUACGUACAGAGGCAUCAUAAUUCUGAUAAAGGGACACUUGUGCUAUUUGGAUAAAUAUGAAUAUUCACGUGAAAAGGAGAAGGGAGAGGUUUUGGGGGGGUAUUAUCUUCUUCAGUCUAUCUUUUGAAGCUUUUCGGCUAUGGAGGCCUAAGCCUCCUACGGGUGAAUCGACGUGAAAGGGAUGCAGAUUAGCUUUUGGCGAGGAGCACUGAGUGUGACAUAAGAGGGAAUGGAGAGAUUCAAGUCGAGAUUGUCUAGGAAUAGUAUUCUCCACUUGUUUCUUUUAUAGUUCUUUUCUAAACGAUAGUGAUUACUUUCUAUUUCAUGUUUGUACGGAAGUAUACAUGAUUUUUGGGUUAAAUGUUAUUUUAUUUAAUCUUGCUUCUACUGUUUAAUCUUUGGGUUCGAAUUUUUUAGCAUGGAAGUGCUAUUGCGGUCACUGACACUAGAAAGUGUAGCGACAAUUCAAGCUAACAAGCAUGACAACAGAAGUUGCUUGAGGAUUAGAGGAAUUUAAUCCACUUGUUCUUAAUAGUGUUGCAUUGCCAUCACCGGAUGGUGUGGCUAAUGUGCACGUUUAAGUCUUAGAUUAAAUACAGAAGUUAAGCUUGGUAAGAUAUUCAUUGCAAUUCAAUGCAUCAGCAAUCACCUAUCCUUUUAUACCUUGUGAGCACUUAGUAUUCUAUUGAAUAUUCUUGUUGGGGAUCCCAAUUUAUCAUUAUCAUAUUUUAUCUUAUUAUUUUCAAGUUUUUGCUUCGACAACUACUCUCACAAUUUAUCUCAUUCCUAUCUAUUUAUUGCACUAACAUUGAUAGACAAAAGACAAUCAUCCUCGUGGGAUUGAUAUCCGACAGAUUCAUAUCUAUCUACUAUACUUACAUCGACAGUGUACGCUUGCACAUUAUUUCUGUGAGUUAAACAGCCGAUCAGGAAGAUAGGAAGAUCCUGCUAUUUUAAUUUUUCUAUCUCUAUCUCUUGCAAUUUUAUUUUUUAUGUUAUUUUAUUUUAUUAUUUUACAAACACUAAACAUAUUUCUUAUUUUACUCUCAUACUAUAACUGACUUAAAGUAUUAAUUAGAUCUUUAAUUUUUUAGGUUAAGAUUGACUUAGUACUCACCUCCUUAAGGUACGAUCCUCGGAGUACUCACCUAUUUCGUUGUAAAAUCUAUGUUAUAACUCGACCUAUAAACUUGCGGAUACCGCCUCCUAACUUUCUAUUUUACUGUAGUAUCCAUACUCUGGACGUUAGUAUGUCCGAGGCAGUCAAUGUCCGCAAGUAUACAAGUCAUGUUGUAAUAUAGCUUUUACAACAAAGUAGGUGAGUACUCCGAGGAUCAUACCCAAGGGAGGCGAGUACUAAAUUAAUAUUAACUUAAAUGUAAAUAGAUCUAAUUAGUACUGUAAAUAAAUUAUAGUACGAUAAACAUAAAGUGAAAAGGAUUUUUUUUAUAAUAAAGGAAAUAAAUAUGCAUAAAAGAAUGAAAAUGAAGAACUAAUAUGUAAACUCAACCAAAUUUAAGCAUGGGUGACUAGCUCUCUUUGAUGGUCAUAACUAAUUCCUAUUUUGGGUUUCUACUCAAUCAACUAGUCGUUACCCUAACAGGAUAUCUCGAUCUUCCACUAAACUAACGAGUCGGCAAGAACUACAUAUCUCUUCACCUCACAGCCCAAACCGAAUUGGGGUAAGGGGUUCACGGAUAGGCAAUACCAAUUUUUGGUUAAUUCCCACCUAGAUAACUUUCUAGUGUUGUCAGGUCUAGGGUUUAAGUUCUUCCUAUCCCAAACAAUUGAUCUGCUAAGAAGCCCUACAUAGAAACUAAUUAAUCACACAAUUGAUCUGCUAAGAAACCCUACAUAGAAACUAAUUAAUCACACAUUGACUCACUAAUCCCCUAUUACUAAUCCCCUAUUAAGAGGAUUAGUUGCUCAUGGAUCUCAAAAAUAGUAUAAACUUGAUAAAUAAAGUAAACAUGAAGAACAAAUUAAAAGUAAAAGUUUAAGAGAAAUCCUAAUUGUAUUAAAUGAUUGAGGUACAGAAAUCCACAAAGCGUUCGUUGAAUCCACAAAUCAAAUCCUCUGAAUAACAUGAAUGAAAACAAAUUGAAAAAAAAAUCCUAAGUCUAAAAAGAAAUAAAAACUAAAAACUAAACAGAAGAGAUAAGUCUAAGUUAUAGAAAAUAUUAUUUCUCAAAUUUUUAAUGAGCUUAUUUAUAAUGUUAAGGUUGGCCAUAGUCCUUAGCCCUAGUUUGGCAGAUGUUUUUACAUUAAAAUACAUUGUGCAAACCAAAACGCCUUCAAUUCGUUAAUGCUUUCAUGUACAGGGUCAAUGUCACUACAUCCACUAUCAACGUAACGACACUAAAGGUAGUCUGCUUGGCUUAAGCUCAGCUUCAGGGGUGUGUCGUGACACAAAAGAAAGACUUGAUAUUUGGCCUUCUGUUCACUAUGUUGCGACAUUGAACUCUGGUGUUGCAACAUGGCGACCAACCUCAAGUUCUUAUGCCUCCAAAUAGUCUCCUGCAAACUCACCAAAUACGUUAGUCUUUCCUUAGGCCUCCUUCGGCCCCUAAGGUCCUAAAAUCGACUCAAAUCACACUUUUUAUUAAAUUGAAACCAAAAUAUAAAAAAUAAAUAAAACAUAAAAAGAUUGCUUAUAUUCAAGCUCCUUAAAUAUGAAAACUAGUUUAAUCCGCUACAAUGAAUUGUGGCAAUCACUUUACUACUUAGCGAACCUAGGUAAAUUGUGUGAACUCAUAUAUGUAUGCGAACCCAUGUGUUUAUGCGAACGCUAUUAGAGUUUCAUAACCUAUGCAUGUACAAUUCCUUUUUAUUGUGAAGCUUGUUUACUUACCAAACCUAUUUUAAGUGUUAGCCUAUAAAGCUAUAUUAUUGAAUGCGAACUUAGAUUGAUGCUAUGCAAACUUAUGUUGAGUGAUGUUUGCGAACCCUUAAGAUAUUGUAAAUUGAUAUGCAAACACUUCCUCUAUUUGUUUUAUAAGCUAUAUAUUAUAUGUAUGAUGUUAUGACAAUCCACUACAAUAUGUAAAACUUAGCACAACUUCCAUAUUGUGAAUUUGUGGUGUGUUGGAGGAUAGGUUGAAGUAAAGUCACUUCGGUGGCUAAUGUGGCACACAGGAUUUAGGUCGGACUUACUCAGUCAGUUUUGGAGUGUUACAGAUGGGUUGGUUGUAAUUCAACCAAACUAGACUAGGUUCUCAACCCUAUCCAAUUUCAAUUACUCUAUUUUCCCAAUUUUCAGUAAAGAUCAUUAGUUUGCAGUCUCUUUCUGUAAUACCCCUACCCAUAUUCGUCGCUAGAAUAGGAUACGAGGCAUUACCAGAUUUUACCGAAUUAAUUUUCCAUUAUUACGAGUUACAUACUAUUCAUUUAUCGAAACAUGUCAUGACGUCCCUUGGAUAGGCCUCUGAAGCCCAAAACAUACAUCGAGACUAAACCGAUCUUAAAUCGAAACCAUAAGAAAUUUUUUUUAUGAACUCAAUAUAACCCCUUUAUAAAUUUCUAACCUUCCCUGCAAUUUUAAACCAAGACUAAUCUAAACCAACCAAUCCAUUUCGACAUAUUUUCAAGAUAGAUUCAAACAUAUCCAUAAGAUAACCUCAUUACAUACCAAAACCAAGAUCUGUUAGCCAUACCAAUGGCUAACCUUACAUUCAUUUCACAUUAACAUUUACUUUAUUAGCUUAUACAUGCCAUUGAUUCCAACAUAAAGUUUCUUUAUAUACCAAAAUCUUGAGGUUGAUAGUGUGAUGCGUCUCUGACCAGAUCCAGCCUCCGAGCUCUUAACACUACAAAAAAGGCGAAAAUGAAAUAAGGUAAGCACUUUGUGCUUAGUAAGCUCAUGUAACAAGAAUUAUACUUACCUAAUAUUUUCAAUACAAUGCAAUAAACAUUCAUACAUCCAUUCAAUGCAUUAUUCCCCUAACAUGCACAAACUCAACAUUCAAGUUAGUUCAAUAAUUUUCAUGUAUCAAUAAUAUAUAUACCAUGAUUUGAUGAGCUCAUCAAUACCAUGAUUUCCAUUCCCUUGUUAUUUUUCCAUAUUUAUCCCGUUGAACUUCUCGGAAUUUCGAUGGAUUUUUAGGGGUACACUUUAGUGUACAGAUUUGGGUCCAUCAAUUCAUAUUAUGUGAACACAUUUCCAUUUCAGAGAGCACACUCCCGCAAACCUCAUCCUUACAGCGGGAUUACCAGUCCAGGCUAAAUCCCCUGUAAUAUAAACUCAUAGAGUAUUGUCGGGAUUACCAGUCCAGGCUAAACCCCCUGCAAUGACAAUUACUCUAAUGAGAUUGGAUCUGAAUUACCAGUCCAGGCUAAAUUCAGACCCUAAUUCGGAUUACUCGUCCAGGCUAAAUCCAUUUUCUACAUAUUCUUCGGGAGGGCUAUAUCAUGAUAAAAUCACACGUUCGGGCUAGAUCCCUUUUACCAUCAAUUCCUUUUCAGAGAUCUAUCGAAUUUUCCUUUCAUUCAACCGGGAUUUAUUUUCUAUUUUCAUCAAGAAUAUCAAUACUUCAUCAAUUAUCAUACAAUAAACAUCCAAAUCAUAUUCACAUCAAAUAUAUAUAUUUCAAGCAUUUAAGAAUAUAAUUCAAGCUACAUGAACUUACCUCGAUACUUGUUCGUAUGCAAAAAUCUACUAAUCUCGAACUUUUUAUUUUCCUUGAUCUAGCUUCGUAUUUGAGUUUUCUGGAUUUAAAUAAAUAAAUUUAAUCAUUAAUUUAAUACAUUUCAUGUUCAUAUGUAACAUUCUCUAUAAUUUCACUAUUAUUUAUAAUUCAUUCAGAGCUGUCUUCUUGAGUCAUAGUCACUAAAUUAUUUAUAUCUUGAGCUACGGAACUCCAAAUUAAGAUCUGAUAAUUUUCUCUAAAACUAGACUCACAUAUCUUCUUACCAUAAAAUUUUCAGAAUUUUUGGUUUAGCCAAUAAGUACAGUUUAUCUCUAAAUUCAUCCCUAUUUUACUAUCUGACAGUUUUGACCCUUCUUCACUAAAAAUUAAUUAUCUCCUCGUACAGGAUUCGGAUGAUGUUCUCGUUUGUUUCUUUUGAAAAUAUACUCAUUAAGGAUUUUAAAAAUUUAAAUUUAAGCCCCUAAAUAUUUUUCUCCAAUUUUUUUAUGAUUUUCCAAAUUCAAAACAGGGGAACCCGAAAUCAUUCUGACCUUGUCUCACAAAACCUAUUAUAUCUCAUAAUUUACAAUUUCAUUGCUUACAUCAUUUAUUUUAUAAGAAACUAGACUCGAUAAGCUUUAAUUUAAUAUUUUAUUCAUCCUCUAAUUCGAUCUCUAAAAUUUUUUGUAAUUUUUCAAAGUUAGACUACUGCUGCUGUCCAAAACUAUUUUAAUGUCAAAUGUUGAUUUCCGUUUUACACCAAAUUUCACAGUUCAUACAAUUCAGUCCUUGCUCAAUUAACCCCUCAAUUAGGCUAAUUUUUCUCAAUUUAUACUUUACCUAGACAUUAUAAGUUAUUUCACAGCUAUUGAAAUUCAGAAUUUCCACAUAAAACACUAACUUCAAACUCUUAUACAAUUAGGUCUCAAACAUUCACUUUCUAUUCAAUUCUUUCAAUAAAAUCCGCAUAUAAAUAAUUUAAAGCUCUAAUUCCAUGCUAAAUCAUCAUAUACUUCCAGCACAUAUUCAUAGCAACUUUCAAUUUCAUUCAUAAAAUCUAAAACUAAUGAAUUCAACAAGUGGACCUAGUUGUAAAAGUCACAAAAACACAUAAAUUUCAAGAAAUAAACAAGAAUUGAACUUACUUGCAGUAAAAAUAUGAAAAACCAGCUUAAGGAAACCUUCUAUGGUGUUUUUGCUGAUGAAAAUGCAGAAAAAUAAAGAGAAAUCUAGAUAAUUCCACUUUAAUCCUAACUUUAUUAAGUAAAUUUUGCAAGAUUCCAAUUUUACCCUUAAUUCUCCUUAUUUCCUUGCUGAUUUCAUGCCCUUGCUGUCCAGCCCAGGGUCUAUUUGGCUUUUAAGCCCUCUUUCUUUUAUCAUUUAAGCUAUUUAAUCAUUUCCUAUAAAUUUGCAUUUGUUACAAUUUAGUGUUCAAUUAACAAUCGAAACUUUAAAAUUUCUUGACGAAACUUUAAUACUAACUUAUUACCACUCCAUAAAUAUUUAUAAAAAUAUUUAUGGCUCAAUUAAAAAUAUCCGAGGUCUCGAUACCUUGUUUUCGAUUCUAAUUAUUUUAAUAUUUAUUUCUAGUACACUAUUCACUAUUUCAAAAAUUUUCCUAACUUCACAUUUAACUUAUACUCACUAAAUUAAUAAUAUUUUCUACUCCCUUGUCGGAUUUAGUGAUCUCGAAUCACCGUUCCGACACCACUAAAAAUUCAGGCCAUUACACUUUCAAUUUAACCCCUAAAUGUUCUAAAUUUCUAGGUUUAAAGGAAUCCAAGUGUGACAAACAUGGUUCAACUAAUAUUCCAUAUCAUUCAUUUAUUCAUUCAAGACACAUAUGAAUCAUAUUUUGUAAAUCAGUCCGUUUAAUGUCAAACUUCAUUAUUCAUACCACUCAACUAUAAGUAAUAUAUUCUUUUAUAACACAACUACUUUAGUAUAAAUGAAUAUUCUAUGAACUUACCUAACUAGAACAACAACAAACAGGACACUAAGGACUAUUUUGCAGUUUUUCCUUUUCUACAAUUAUCGAUCGGUUGAUCCGUUACUUGAUCUAUAUAAUAAUUUAAUUCAAUUAUCAAAUCCAAAUACCUUAAAGUAUCUAAAUAUAUGCACAUGAAAUUUUAAUUUUGUUUUCACAAUUUUCUUAAAAUUUUAUAUUUUUUCAAUUUAGUCCCUAAAACUGAAACUAUUAUAUCUUUCACAAUUAAACAUCAUUUUAUGAUCUAAUUUCACAUACAUCCUUAUAAGAACCUCUACUAUCCAUAUUUAUCAAAAAUUCAUGGUAGUUUCAUCAACUUUUCAUUUUAGUCCCUAAAUGCAAAACUAACAAAAGCCACUUUACAAAUUAAUCUUAUUUCAUUCCUAAGCUUACAAUUCUACCAUUUAACAUCAAAACAUUCAAAAACCAUUAAAGGUAACUUUUACAAACUUUAACAGUUUUAGGAUUUAACACACGGGAUAACUAAAUUAAGCUACAACGAUCUCAAAAACAUAAAAUUCAUGAAAAAUGAACCUCAAAUAUACUCACAUGCAAUGAAGAAAAGCUUGACCAAAUCCCUAGCUCUUUAUCAAUAGAGGAAAUGGGUUUUAGAAAGAAAAUGAUGAAUAUGAUAUGCUUACUUGCUUUUUCACAUGUUUUAUUUUCUUUUAAAUUUAAUUUUAUAAAUAAUUUAAUAUAAAACCAAUUACUUACCGUCCAUUAACUUAAAAGUGGCUAAUUGCCACAUAAAACUGCUAACAUUUACCUAUUAAUCAUUUUUAACUAAUAAAAUCAAUAACGAUUAAGUUUUACGAUUUUUAUGAUCUAGUCCUUGUACCCUAAUUAACCAUUUAAUCAAUCAAAUCACCGAACCAAAAUCUAAUAUAACAUUAUAGUAGACUCAUAAAUAUUAAUAAAUAAUAUUUACUGAUCUGAUCAUCGAAAAAAGAAGUUUUGAAACCAUUGUUUCCGGUACCAUUAGAAACGAGCUAUUACACUGGCACACAAAAUGCAUCCUGACACAUAAGCGAAUAACUCGUACACAAUCCAAUCCUAUAGUAUGCCAACUUUAUCUAACACAGCCCAAACAACUAAUAGGGUACCCAUGUUCAAUUUCAUUUUACGAUUCGAUACAUAUAUCAUUUCUCAAUCAAAAUCAUAUUCACAAUCCAAUUCAUUAUCAAUAUACUUUAUAUCUCAUUUCAUACAACAUAUUUCUAUCUCAUUUCCAUAUAACACAUCAUAAUCCAAGCCUUUCAUGUCAUUUUCUAUUUUAUUCAUUUUAGACCUCUAUUUCGGUAUUCCAUAUAACAUAUCAUAUUCCAAGUAUGUACAACAUACUUGUACAUAUAAUUCGUUCGAUAUUUAACCGCCCAAUUAAAUUAAUUCUAUAAUCAACUUAAUUCAUGUGACGGCUAAAAACAAUACUAACUAUGUUUGGAUUUCGUUCGUUUCAACCAUAGAGUGUGGCCUUGUAGGUUCUUGUAGCGUUAGCAGUAAUACUAGAAUGAUUCUAAUAUUACAACCAAUGAGUAGCAUCUAGCAAUGCAUCAUUGCUACCUAAGUUACAAGAAGUCAUGAUUCGACUUAACCUCUAUGUGAUUAACCUUUAAUGUAUUAAAUCCUUUUGUCUUUUAUAUCUAGAAUGGGCACAAGUCAUGGAAUUGUCACACUUGCAUAAUCUAUAUAAUGUUUCUUAAUAUCCUGAGUAGACUAUGAUAAACAAGUAAGUAUGAUAUCUCAUAUUAACUUAUUCGAGUAUGGCCAUGCAUUUCUAGUCUUACUCAAUCAAGUGGCCUAAGAUAUUACUCCUAUUAUGUAGGAGGGACAAACCCUAUAUUGAUUAACCAUAUCCCAGUACAUAGAUUGUGGUAUAUCCAACAUCAACCUUUAUAGAACAACCAGUUACGAUGGAUGUUUGACUGUAUCAUAAUAUACGACUCACGAUGAUGGGAUAAUGAUGAUCUCAAGUCUGAGGAUCGUAAACAUAGUAAUCACUAUGAGUAAUGUUGUGAUUAUUAUAUAAUAAUCCAAGAAACAUACUCAUAGUGGAUCAGUCCAAUACACAUACUCAUGUAUUGAUUUUGACAUCCUAUGUUAGUGACAACACUUUGUCAUCAAUAAACUACACGUUAGUCUUAAUGCAUUAUUGUUGUUCAAGCCCACAAUAAUACUUGACUAAGGACCUUUUAAGAAUAAUCAUAUUAUUCUCAAGACAUUAUUAUAAAACAGUUUAUUUAUACACACAUAAAAGAAACUAAAAUAAUAAUGGCAAUGCUUUAUAUUAAUAAACGAGGUAAAACAAGUAUGUUAUUACAAUCAUUUCAUGAUUGGUCUUUGGGCAUACUCUAACAAGCUUAAUAAAGCUCCCAUGAUAAAAAAAAAUCUAUAAAAAUCAAAGAAAACUGACUAGAGACUUACUUGAAAUUGGUGGCUUAAUAUCGAUCUAGGUUUUUCAAGCUUUUUCAUUCUUUCUUCUAUGGAGGACACGAUGAAGAAGAUGAUGUUUGUCAUCCUUUCCCACUAGAUUAGUUUAUAAUUAAGCUUAAUUAAAUAAUUUAAUCUUACUUAAUUAAGCACUAAUCUUUACUUGACUUAAUUUAAUGACAUUCACCUUCUAUCCACUAAAAAAAAUUCUAAAUUGGUUUAUUAGCUAUUUUAGUCCUUUCGAUAAUUGCUAUCUAAGUCCUUAAGCCUUUCUCUAAUUAAAACUCUAUAGCAAUUAAAUUUUUACAAUUUAGUCCUUGGGUCUUAAUUAACUACUGUAAAGCCCAAAAUCUGCCCGGGCUUGACAGUCCAUUUACAAAAAAUGAACCCAAACAAUUAUAGCCCAAAUAAAAAAAAGCCUAAAGCCCAAAUGGCCCAAAACUAAACUAGUUUUCAGCCAAACACAAAAACCCUAGCCCCAUGCCCCGCUACUGCCGCCGCUCCAUCUGCGCCGCACGCCGUCACCGUCCAAGACUUGCCUAUCACCGGUCGCCCACGCGUCUGACACCUGCGAAAAUUAAGUAUAACGACAGUGAAAAGGCAUGCGGGCAAUAAAAAAAAGAAGAUGGACAUUAAAGAAGAAGGAGAAGACAUUUUUUUCGGCUAUAAAAAGCCUUAAUCGAAUCCUUGUAUUUUUUUUACGAAUACAUCUCAGUCAAUCAAAAACUCAGAAACAAAAAUAGAAAAGGUUGAUUUUAAACUACUUUUUUCGUCUCUUUCUAUUUUAUUUAUUUGAUCUUAUUUUAUUUUAUUUUUUUUCUUUUGCAAAUCUAUUUCAAAUAACUAUAGUAAAAAAUCAAAAGCAAUAAAAAGGGGAAGGGGGACUUACCGGGGAAGCGCCAAAAUCGUGCCCGCGAGGUGUUCUCAUUCUUCGCGGCCACCGGAUCUCAAAGGCGCCGAGGUUCCUUUAUUUUCUCCUUCGGGAUUGGGGGUUUAGCCUUCUGGGAUGUUUCUAGGCCGAGGUUAGGAGCUCUUUCUCCAUCGCCGGCCACCGGUCUUUGUGGCCGUGAUGGCGACGCGCCGGAGGCAAAUGAACCCGAGGGUCGGACGGUUGAAAGUGGAGGAGAAAGGUUUUGAAACAAAAAAAUAUAUAAUAAACAGAGGCCAGAAUGAAAAGAAUGAAAAUUUUGCUUAAAUGCACUGAGUAAAACGGCGCCGUUGAGGGGAGGUGACCAGCGCAUUCUUGCCCUAGUGGUAAUUUUGCGCCUUUGGUCCCUCCAAUUUUUCCAGCGCAUUUAAAUUACCCUUUUGUUUCUUUUAAUUUUAGCCAUAUAAUUUCGCGUCUUUUCCAAUCUGGUCCUGCGCAAAUCUAUGCGCAUAUGGGACGGGGAAUAUUGCGCAAUCGGUCCCCCAGGUCCUCGGCGCCUUUUAUUUCAACCCCUUUACCACCUAUUUCAUAUAUUUGUAGUUUAAGACCCGUUUUUUUAUUCUGUUUCAACCACGUCCUUAAUAUGUUUUUUAUAUACGCUAUUUUAUCAUUAUUUGGUUUAAGCCUUUAUAUUUAUUAUUUAUUUGAAAUUGUUUUGCACUAAAUUUUUUUAUAUAUUUUAAAAACUGUUUCUUUUAUUGUUUAAGAUUUUCUUUUGUAUAUUAUUUUAUUUUAAACUACUUUAGAUUGACUAGUAUUUAUCUCAAGUUUUUAUCUCAUUUUAUUUAUUUGGUUUAAAUUUAUAUAUUAUCAUAUUAUAUAUUAUUAUCUAUGUUAAAAUAUUUUAAUAUUAAUAAUUUCAAAUUAUUCAUAUAUUUUUAUAAUAUAUAUUUACGUACAUACUUUUCAUUUAUUAUAAACAUAUACUUUUUAUAUUUUAUAUUUUAUAUUUCAUAUUUUAUAUUCUUUAUAUUCUCAAAAAUAUUUUUUUAAUUCACAUACAUAUUUUCUUACAUUAUUACAAUUUGUAAAUAUAUAUACACACAUACUUACAUUUUUAUUUUAUAAUACUUACAGAUUUUUUUAUAUAUGUAUAUAUUUAUAUACGUUUUCAUAUUCUAUAAUUUAUAUGCAUUUCUUAUUUUCAUGGCUUAAAAUUAUACAUGCAUACACAUUGUUACAUAAUUGUGUUUAUUGUCAUCAUUGUUAUUUGGUGUUUGUUUCUUUAUUCAUGUACACUUUCACUUUUCUAAAAUGUUAGUUCUAUUUAUUUAUUCGUUUACGUUGUUUAUGUAAUCGCCUCGUCAUUUCAUUUUGCCUAUUGUAUUGUUGUUACUCACAUUACUUUGCUUACCUUGUCGUAUUCGUUAUUGUUUUGUCAUGCAUUAACACCAAACAUCAAAAGGAAAGUUUUUUUCUAAAUAAGGCAAUAUUUCGCGUUUGGAAAAUCAAGAAAACGUGCCCUAACGUGCUGGUUUCGAUUUCUCGUUCGACUAAAUAGCCAAAUAUCCUCUUAAAACUUCAAAGUAUGGUUUCAUUAAAUUAUAAGGUGAUAUUGGUUUUGAUGGUUUAGAGUAUCGUGUCCUAACGUGCUGGAUGUGAUAUUCCUUCGGAACAAGAGAAUCUUAUAUUUCAAUUCACAUUAUCAGAGUUUCUUUCAAGGAUCGUAUUUUUUAAACUCUUCAAAUUUUCAAUUUUCGACACUAAGACACUAAUUAAUCAACUAGGUACCAAUUUUGGGCGUAUUGAGGGUGCUAAUCCUUCCUCGUGCGUAACCGACUCCCGAACCUGUUUUCUGAAUUUCGUAGACCAAAAUCGUUGUUUUAAUAAAAAUUAAAUCGUUUAUUAAAAACAACCACUUUUCGAGGUGACCCGAUCACACAUCAUCAAAAAAGGAUUGGUGGCGACUCCCGUUUUCAUUCUUUUUUUCAAAAUCCAAGUCGACCCCGUUUUCACAAAAAAAUGGUGUCAACAACUACAAUUUCGGCUAAAUUACUUAACCGAAUUUCAAUAUAUCUAUAUACUAACUCUGUAAAUAUCCCUAUUUAAUAUUUACGGACUCGGUUUAUGAAAAUGAGGUUCAAAAAACUGCACUUUUCGACGCCACUGGAAACCGGGUCAUUACAUUUCUAAUUUAUUGGAUUUAAAAGUUUUUAAGUAUUUCUUAUAUAUAUUUAUCAAGUAAGAUAUAGAAAGAAUAUGAUGUGGUGAUCCGAUCGAAUCUAUGGAUCAUAUUCUUAGAGAUUGUUUAGCGGCCAGGGAAGUUUAGAGUGUGGUCCAAGCUCUCUCAUAAGAUUUGAGUUUCUUCAUUUUGGAUUUCAAGUAGUGGGUAAAAAACAACAGUAGGUUUGAACAACUAAUGCGUUUUGCUGCUUCCUUGGAGGAAUUUUUUGUGGCCAUUUAUAGGGACUGUGGAAGGGAAGAAAUAUAGAAAAUUUUCAAUGACAAAAUCAAUUUGUUGUGCAAGUGGUGGGUUAUGUUAGAAGGCUCGCCUUGGACAUUUAUAAUGUUUGGAAGAAAUAUAUCACAUGCUUUGUUACUGUUGUGCGAUAUGUUAGUUGGAGAAAACCACCUUCAAAUGCAUAGAUUCUUAACAUCGAUGGCAACAUUCGAAUGUUGACACAAAGUGCCGCAACAGGUGGUUUGAUUCGAGGACUAAAUCUACUGUUGUUGGCUUGAUUCGAGAUGAACAUGGUAUUAGUUGGUUAGCUGGUUUCUUGUGUAAGAUUGGAAGUGCUAAUAGCUUACAUCCAGAGCUUUGGGCUGUAAGAGAAGGAUUGCGUAGCUAAGGCGAAGGGGUUAUCUAAUAUAAUAGUUGAAAUGGAUUUUGUGAUCAGGGUAAUGACUUUGAAACAUGGCGUGGUUGAUACUCACCCACUUGGCUCAUUGGUUUGAGAUUGCAUGGAACUUGUCAACAAGAGUAUAGGGUGAUUGAAAUAAGACACAUACAUAGAAAGGGAAAUCGAUGUGUAAAUCAUCUUUGCUAACUUGGCACAAGAUCUUGACUUGGGGUUAUUCUUUUAUCUGCACCGCUAGACAGCUUAUUGUCUUUGGUAAUUGAUCACGAUGCUAAUGGCAAAAAGAUUGCUAGAGUAGGCUAGUUGCUGUAAUACUUUUCAUUUUGUACCAAUAUAUAUAUUUAGAGUUUAUAAUUUAUAAUUUAUAAUUAUAUUCAUUUAUGGAUUUUUAUAUAUUUAUUUAUAUUAUUAUAAAAUUUUAAAGUUUACAUAUAUUUAAUAAAAUAAGUUUUAUAUAUUUUUUAUUAAAAAUGCCACAUGGUGCUAUUUGAUUGGUCAAAAUAGCCAACAAUUUUUUUAACAUUUGUUAAUAAUUUGGGUCAAAACCAUAAGUGAAUGAUACUUUAGGUAUCAAUUGGUACAAACAAAAAUUUAGGUAUCAAAGUAAGAAAAUAGGUAUACUUCAAGGACUAAAUUGUGAAUUAAGCCAAUAAAGAACAAUCAAUACAAAUUUAAACUUGAAACUAAACAAAUUGAUGAAUAAAAAAUAAAACAUUUUCAAAAUAAGCAAAAAAAAAUAUUUUCUUUUCCUCCAAACAAGUCAUGUGAGUAGCUAAAAAUUAGGUCAAAUUAUGCUAUUAAACCCUAUACUUUGAGUAAGUUGUGGACUUAGUACAUAUGCUUUAAUUUAGUUAUGUUCAAUCUUUGUACUUUUAGAAUUUUAAAAUUUUAGUCCUAACUAUUAAGUUUAUGAAGUUGUGCUAUUUUCAAAAUUCGAUGCGUCAAACAUAUUAUUGCAUGUGUAAUGUCAUUUUAGCUUGUCAUCUUUACAUAUUACUUGCAAAAACCCAGCUAAUAGAUUUAAUGGCUGCUAUUACAUUAAGACUAAAAUUUCAAAAUCUAAAACAUAUUGUGACUAAGAAUUAUCCAAAUGAAGAACAUGGACUAAAUUUCUAACUUUACGCAUAACACAAGACUAAUGAUAAAAUUUAACCAAACAAAUUUAAUUGCUAUUAUUUGAACAUAACUAAUUUUUUAAAAUUUGAAAAGCACAAACACUAAAUUUAAUUAAAUCAUAGCAAAUCCAUAAGGAAGUACUUGAUUUAGUAACAAAAUUUGAUCCUAAAAAUUACCCUUUAAAAUUAAUUUAUUACUAAUUUAUAUAUUAAGAUAUGAAAUAAAUAAUACUGCUAGCAUUAAUAUAAAAAAAAAACUAAAUUAUUAGAGUAAAAAGAACCUACAAAAAAAUACCUUGUCUUGCCAUGAUAAUAAUAUCAGUAUUGAAUUGGUUCAUAUUUUAUUUUAAUUUUACUUUUAUGUUUUAACUAUGUGAAAUUAAAAGACGAAAGGCCAUAAAGAAGCUUCUGGAGACAAUUGGAAGAAGGAGAAAAGAAAAAUAAAAAGAAAAGAAGGAUCUGCAAAGGGGGGCGGCUGAAAGAAGAAACUGAAAAUAAAGUGGCCGCCAGAUUAAUUUGCUUUUUGGGUUAUUAUUUAUCAGUGGGCUGAUCGACGUCCAGUCUCCACUGGUCAAAUCGCUGGAAAUAAGGUAGCAAAAGAUAUCGGUUUUAAUUUAUUCAUUUCAAUAUUUUUCCUUCUUUCAAUUCAGUGUAUUGCCUUUCAUUCAUCGUCUUUGAUCGUAUUGCAGUCGAAUUGAUAAGCUUUUGUUCUGAUAUAAUUUCCAUAUUACCGAAAAUACCGAGUUUAUGAGAUUAUGAGAAAUGUUUUGAGAUUUUAUCUGUUGAAGUUGUUAGCCUGAAGCGACUGUAUAGGAAGAGUGCUUUUUAGUUUGAGGGGAAGAAGACUUUUGAUUGUUGUUCAAUGCUUUGGAUUUGAGAUGAAGAGGAAAUUGCGUACUUGAUACAACUGAAUGUAUGUAUCGUUUUCGCGAGUAGUAGGGCUCUUUCAUGGUUCUGUAGCAGUUCUGAAAUGGUUUAUUAGUUAAUUACUGAACUGAUAAAACUGAAAGCCUUUGUUGUUUCAUUUUUAUAGGUUAUUGGCCCCUUUGAGUUAUCAUCCAGUCUGGGCCACCCACACAAGAAGAGAGUGGGAGCAAGAGAUUCAAGAUUGGAUAUCAAAAGUUCCUAUUCUAAUCUGAAUUGAAGCAGGCAGGUCCAUGAAAUCCUCCUAUUCCUUGUGUUCCACAUAAAUUAAGAUCUUAUACAAGUCUGUCCCCCCGCUUCCUUAAUUCAUUGUUUUUGAAAUUGGAAUUGGAAUUGGAUGGCUUCCUCUGGGAAUCCCAAUCCUCAACCACAAAUUGGCGGUGGAAGUGGAGGUGGAGGCGGCAGUGGAGGGUUCGAUUUGAACAAACUGUUUAAGCCCAGUUCCAGCCCAAUGCUGCAGCAUCAGCAUCUCCAAGACAUGAACGUCAUGGCAACUCCUCCAAGUCCAAAUCCUAACACUACCAACCUGACUACAUCCCCAUCUUUCCCAGCCCAACUGUCAACGCCGCCUCCACCUCCCUAUUUAACGCCUUCCUCCUCUUACCCUCCGCCUACUAGGCCCUACCCUUUCCAUCAGCAGUACCUUCACUACCCUCCUCCUCCUCAACACCUACCCCCCUUGCAUCCUCAUCCUAAUCCUACUGGACCUAUUCCUUAUCAUCCCCAACCCCAACUACCCACCACUCCUACUUCUGGAAAUGACAUUUUGAUGGCCUUUUUUGGCACUCAGUCUCAGUCACAAGCUCCUGCUCCUGUCCCUUCUGCCCCACCUCUUAAUAUGAAUGUCAACCCAUCUGCCCCUUCGCCCUCUCCCUCCUCUCCCUCACCUGCCCGACUGUUGAGCAGCAAGUCCCCCAAGGGAAGGCAUCUUUUUGGGACCAAUCUCCUUUACGAUAUUCAUGUCAGGCUGCCCAGUGAAGUACAGCCCCAACUUGAGGUCACUCCCAUUACCAAGUAUGCUUCUGAUCCUGGCCUUGUUCUUGGUCGUCAGAUUGCUGUUAAUAGGAAUUACAUUUGCUAUGGUCUUAAGCUUGGGAAUAUCCGUAUCCUCAACAUCAACACCGCCCUCCGGUCCUUGCUUCGUGGCCACACUCAGGUAUUUCUCUUUAUACGCACUUUUCUAUUAUCAAGUUCCUAUUGUGAAACAUCUUAUUACCAGCUCAACCUUUUCAUUUAUUUUGUUUCUCCAAAUAUAGAGAGUGACAGAUAUGGCUUUUUUUGCUGAGGAUGUCCACCUUUUGGCCAGGUACUCCUUUCUACAUAUUUCAUGCGAUAAAUUGACUUCAUUUGUGUCAUCAAAAAGUGCUCAUCUUUCAUUUUCUGCAGUGCAAGUGUCGAUGGCCGGGUUUUUGUAUGGAGGAUCAAUGAAGGCCCUGAUGAUGAAGAUAAGCCGCAAAUUUUUGGCAAAGUUGUUAUUGCCAUUCAGAUCGUGGGGCAAGAAGAAUCGAAACAUCCACGAGUCUGUUGGCAUCCUCACAAACAAGUAAUAAAUCGGUUUGUAUUUUAUGUUAUCAAAUAGUAACUAUUAUGUGCUUGUCCUGUCCAUACUUUUUUUUCCUUGUUGUAAAGGUUCAACAAAUGUUAUCUAACAGGAGAUUUUGAUGGUUGCUAUUGGAAAUUGUAUCCUGAAAAUUGAUACAAUGAAAGUUGGAAAACUUGAAGGGUUUACAGCAGAGGAACCUCUUAAUUGCUCUGUUGAUAAGCUUAUUGAUGGGGUUCAGUUUGUUGGUAAACAUGAUGGUGAGCUUACAGAGUUGUCAAUGUGCCAAUGGUUGACUACCCGUUUAGCUUCAGCUUCAGUAGAUGGCACGGUUUGUACAAACACUUUUUCUUAUUUGCUGGUUUAUUUCCUCUCUUUUGGUUCUUAAUAUGGUUUCUUCUGAGAACAAAAAUGAAAACUGAGUGAUGGUUAUAUCUAGAACACAGAAAACCUCUUCAAAGAUUUUCCUAUAAUGGCUGUACGUGACAUGUAAAGCUGAUAAUGUUUUAUUUCCAGCUAACAUGAUGACUGUAGUUAUGGAUAUUGAGCCUUUUUAAUGUAAGUUUUUUGGUUGUCCAAAGCGAUUUUCUCAUUAUAACUAUUAGCUAUUAUUGAUGUGGGAAUACUGUAAAUCAAGUAGCUGACAGCCAUUGGCCUUUUUAAGGCCUAGAAAAUUGAAGAUUUUGGUUUGACUUGUGGCAGUUGUUCCAUUAGGCAGUGUGCUUAAAUUCCGAGCAGACCAUCUGUAUUCAUUCUUCAAUCAGGUAAUGAUAUUUGUGGAAACUGUAAACUCUGUGACAGGUGAAAAUUUGGGAAGAUCGUAAGCCUUUACCACUUGCAGUGUUGAGGCCACAUGAUGGACAUCCUGUUUACUCAGCAACAUUCUUGACUGCCCCGCAUCGCCCUGACCAUAUAGUUCUUAUCACAGGAGUAGGCUUCUUUUUCUUUUCCUUUUUAUAGAACAUUUUCUAUGUCCAUUUUAAGCUUUUGUGAUGUAGAAAAUUACUUGUGCGUUUGUGUUAGUACUGCGCCAUAAAUUCACUUUUCAUUAUGCCAAAUGUCUAUUUUGAAAUCUUUUAGGGCCCACUAAACCGUGAAGUGAAGAUAUGGGCCUCUUCAGGUGAAGAGGGCUGGUUGUUGCCCAGUGAUGGUGAAUCAUGGCAGUGUACCCAAACAUUGGAAUUGAGGUGUUCUGCUGAAUCUGAGGUUGACAAUGCAUUCUUUAAUCAAGUUGUGGCACUGCCCCAUGCAGGCCUGUUUCUGCUUGCAAAUGCCAAGAAGAAUGCCAUAUAUGCUGUGCACAUAGACUAUGGGCCUAAUCCAGCUGCAACUUGCAUGGAUUAUAUAGCUGAAUUCACUGUCACAAUGCCCAUAUUGAGUCUCACUGGAACAAGUGAUAGUUUGCCAGGUGGAGACUAUACCGUCCAAGUCUACUGCGUUCAAACACAGGCCAUUCAGCAAUAUGCUUUGGACUUGUCUCAAUGCCUGCCACCACCCUUGGAAAAUGCAGACUUGGAUAAAACUGAUUCUAAUGCUGCUCAUGUUUUUGAUGCCAUGAACUCUGAUGUUUCUGCUUCUCUGGAAUUAUCUCAUGGAUAUAAACCAAGCCCUUCAAUUUUGGUGUCGUGUAUAAGCUCCAGUAGCUCUGAAAGUGCAUCAGUCGUGAGCUGUACGCAAAAUUUAGCUUCUUCAGAUGUUACUUUCAUAUCUGAGAGUGCUGUGUCUGGCAUUGAAAGUAAGCCAAGUGCUUUGCUGUCUUCUAGUAGUGCCGAAAAUAUGCACAGUGCAUCUCCUCCAGGGUUAUCACGAAAGUCUUCUGGUUUUAGAAAUCCAAGUGUUGAUCAUGUUAACCACUCAGCACAUGAUUCUGUUGACCACAAUGUAGAUACAGUCAAAGAGAAUAAGGCUGAAAUGCCCUACUCUGGUGGUCACCUGCAGAAAGGUGAAGAUAUUGCCCAAAAUGACAUUUCAACUGUUCCUGGUCCUCAUACAGUGUUCAAACAUCCAACCCAUCUGGUAACACCAUCAGAGAUACUGUCUACCAUGGCUUCAUCGACAGAGAAUGCUCAGAUUAGUCAGGUUAUUAGUGACGGUGAGGCAACAGUUGAAGAUGUUGUCAAGAAUGAUGCUGAAAGCAUAGAGGUAGAAGUUGACAAUCUUGGUGAGACAAGGCAUUGUCAAACUAAUGAAACUAAAUGUCCACAAGGCCCUCAUACUACUGUUACAGAUAACAAAGAAAAGGCAUUCUACUCUCAGGCAUCGGAUCUUGGCAUUCAGAUGGCCAGAGAUUUUUGUGCCAAAAGUUAUAGCGUUGAGGGAGCUCAACAAGCUAAUCUCAUGGGUGUUUCUGUUCAAGAAGAUAAACUUACUAAUACUGGUGAUGGGGAUGACCAGAAUGUGAUUAAAGAUGUCCCUCCAAAGGUCAGUGAAACUGACACUGCUGUCACUGUUUCUGCAUCUCCAGCUUCUGCUAAAGGGAAAAAGCUGCAAAAGAAAAAUUCUCAAGUAUCUAUCGCAUCUUCCCCUUCAGCAAGCCCAUAUAAUUCCACAGAUUCAUCUAAUGAACCAGGGUGUAGUUCCCAGGCUCUGUCAGCUGAUGCUUUUUUGCCCCAAUUGCUAGCCAUGCAGGACUUGCUUGAGAAGGUGGGUUUUUUUUUUUAAUAAAAACAAUACAUAAACAAAUUUUUGACGAAAAAAUUUCCUUUUAGAAAAAAAAAAUUAUAGAGCCUCUUCUUUAUACAUGUGCAUUCGUGUGCAUGUUAACAUUUUUUAUAUAAUUUUCUUAAUAUAAUGAUUUUGUUGCACCAAGCAGUCCCUUAGCAUGCAGAAGGAAAUGCAGAAGCAGAUGAACACAAUUGUCUCUGCUCCUGUUAACAAAGAAGGGAAAAGAUUGGAAGCAUCCUUGGGCAGGAGCAUUGAGAAAGCUGUAAAGGCAAAUACAGAUGCUUUGUGGGCCCGUUUCCAGGAUGAAAAUGCAAAGCAAGAGAAGUUAGAAAGAGACUGCAUGCAGCAGAUAACAAACUUGAUCACCAACUGUUUAAAUAAGGACUUGCCAGCCAUGUUUGAAAAAUCCUUAAAGAAGGAAAUAGCUGCAGUUGGCCCUGUUGUGGCUCGUGCUAUUAGUCCUAUUCUGGAGAAAAGUAUAUCUUCUGCUAUUACAGAGUCAUUCCAGGUAAAACCAAAAAUCCAAAUUUUGUUCGCAUAUUAGAUUGUUUGGUGCCCUAUAAGAGUGAAGUGUUCAUUUAUUUGGACAAAUGCACCAUUAUAAAUGAAGACAUAAUAGGAAAUGUAGCAACUAUAUCUUCUUGUUGGAAAUGUUAGCAGGUGCUCUUGGCAUGGGUCAAUGUGAUAUUUAUAGGAAGAAUUUUGUAGUUAGUGUAUUUGUUAUCUCUUGAAAAGGAAAUAAUACAUUCAAUAAAAAACAUCAUACUGCUAAAUAUUUACUUUUUGGGAAAACACAAAUGCUAAAUAGUAAUCUGAGUGAUCUUAAACGCACUUGAUCUUAUUAUUGAAAUAUGCUGUAAUGAUCUCUUUCCAUCUUGUCCUAUCUUUUACUUCAUUUCUGGGUAAAAUUUGGUGAAACCUCAGAUGUUUCUACACUAUUUGUUGCUGUGGUAGCUUUCUUUCAUCAAUCGGAUUUAUUCUAUAGUUGUGAAUUUUUCUCCUCUAAAUGUAGUCAAAUAUGGUAUAUAAUUCCCUUAUGCCACUAAAAUUGUGGUAGUUACAUUAUGGGGUUUCUAAUUGGGUAUUUGCAGAAAGGAGUUGGAGAGAGGGCUGUGAAUCAUUUAGAGAAGUCAGUCAGUUCAAAACUUGAAGUGACAAUGGCCAGGCAAAUUCAAGCACAAUUUCAAACUUCUGGAAAGCAAGCACUUCAGGUGACUUCUUGUUCAUCUAUCCUUUUUUUAAAACUUACGUUAUGUGUUUUUCUUUAUUAAAUUCAUUUGAUCCUUCCAAUGCUUUCCUUUUUCUGUCAUUUGGAGUUUGAUAAGAAUAAUUUAUUUCUAGAUGAUAAAAAUUUAGAUCAGUGGGAUUGGUGAAUGUAUUUUCCUUUGACAAAUAAGCAUUCAAAUGUCUCAUGGACUGUUAUAAAUGAAAUUCAUAGCCUUCGUGGGGAUGUUUUCCUUUAUUGUAAAAUGCAAUUACAUGUACUCUCCAAUAUCACCUAAUUCAAUAAAUCAGUUGUACCCUACAGGAUGUAUAAGCUUCCUUUAUGGAUUGGUAGUAACUCUAAAUUCCAUUCUGCAUGAAACUCUUGUUCCUAUUUUUCUCUCUAGUUUAUGUGGAUACAGGUUGUUGAACUUACACUGGUCUGCAUUUAAAUUUGAUAGAAAGGAGGGGAAAAAGUUGGGGGGGGGGGUUAAUUGAUACCUGCCUAGUGUCUCCUAAAGAAGAUAACAGAACCCAUCAGAUGAAUGUCCUAAAACUUGUUGAGUUCUCUAGUUAUUUCUUAUUGUUUCUGGUGUCUCUAAUGGUCAUCCUCCCUGGUGACAUUCUGCUAACCUUUUUUUUAUUGGAACGAAUGUUCAUAUAUCUUAAUAUUUGACGUCGGAUAAAGUUGUUCUGCUGAUUAGAGAAAUGCUGUAUUCAUCCACAGGAUGCACUAAGGUCUAGCUUGGAAACGUCUGUUAUUCCAGCAUUUGAGAUGUCAUGCAAAUCUAUGUUCGAGCAAAUUGAUGUCACAUUUCAGAGAGGGCUAAUGGAACACACAGCUACUGCUCAGCAGCAAUUUGAAAAUUCACAUUCUUCCCUUGCCGUUGCUUUAAAGGUAUGGUAGAUUAGUGACAGUUUGGUGGUUUCUAUCGUAACUUAAUUCUCACUUUAGCGUGUUAAAACUGUCAAAGGUUACCUUCCUUAGUAGCUUAAUCAUGAUAAAAUGUAAUUGAGUAUUCUCAUUUUUUUUUAUAAUUUUUACUGUGCUUUGUAGAUGUUCCUGACUUGAUAUCUUUUCUAGGAUAAGUCGUAGUAUAUCUGUUUACUAUUUUUUAUAGCCAUAGAAUAAAUGAUGUUGCAUAAUGAAUUUUAUACAGUUAAAGAGGUGCCUUUAACUGAACAUGUUUCUGCAAAAUCUUGUUUCUAGAUUGCUACUGAGAUAAUAUCUGAAUGUAGGUAUAUAUGCUCAAUAUUAGGAUUUGUGCUUGAAUGGGAGAUUUCUAGAUUGCUACUGAGAUAAUCAUAACCUGUGUUGUCAAGGCUGCAAGGUGCACUCUAGGUGCUAGAACCCUUAAAUUGGUGCAAGAAAAGUGCUAGCCUAAGUGAAAUAAAGCGCAAUAUAUGUAUGUAGUUUUAGCAAGUCUGUAUAUAUGAUAUAUAAAGCUUAAGAUAUAUAGUAAACUCAAAAUUAUGGUCUAGUUUAUCUACAGAACAUGCAAUUUUUUUAUUGAUCAAUAUGCAUGAUUUCCGUAUAGUUUAUGUUUGUUGCUGAAUGCUCAAAUAUUGAGAAGUAUUUAGUUUGACAUGAUUCCUUUCUAACUAGUAAAGAGAUAUCAAAUGAGAUCUGUGAAAAAUAAAAGAAAUUAAAGGAGAUUCAUUCAAGUGGAUUUUUUUAUGCCUAUUGCCUUACAUAAAAGCGCUCCUAGGUACAAGCCUCGUGUGCCUAAUCAAAAGGGCCUUGCUUGGAAGGGUCUGAGGCAUUUUUGUUGAAUAAUGCUAAAGCUUAAGGCACAGGUGUGCCUAGGCACAAGCCUUGACAACACUGAUCAUAACCUGGUUUUGUUAUAAUUAAUGGAUGGUUGUUUUGUAAUGUACGGUAGUCAACAGCCAGUUUUAAUGAUGUCCAAUAAGAUGGUGAAAUGUUCGAAGACAAUUUUUCACAUUUAUGUAUAGUGUUGCCUGUAUUAUAGGCUUUGCUGGUUCAACUUAAGUCUUUUAAGAUAAACUGCUUUAUAUUCACAGGAUGCUAUUAAUUCUGCAAGUUCAAUCACACAAAGCUUAUGUGGAGAAAUGGCCAAUGCACAACGAAAACUUCUAGCUAUAGCAGCAGCAGGUGGCAGCUCCAAGGCAGGAAAUCCCUUGGUGACACAAUUGAGUAAUGGGCCAUUGGCUCAUCUGCAUGAGAUGGUAUUCUCUCUCUGUUUCUCGUAAAUCUGACAGUCAUCGUUCAUGUUUAUGUGCCUCACAUCGACUGUUAUACGUGUACAGCAGCCUGAGGCACAGUUAGAUCCAACAAAAAAGUUGUCAAGAAUGAUAGCUGAGAAGAAAUAUGAUGAAGCAUUCACCUCUGCCUUGCAUAGAAGUGAUGUCUCAAUAGUUUCCUGGUUGUGUUCUCAGGUAAGGUUCCAAUGAUCAGUUGUACUCUUGACAUUAUUUUCCAGCAACCCUUAAUUGUACAUAACGAGAAAGCUCUACUUUGAGACCUGACAUUGGUUUGAAUUGAAUUAACCAGGUUGAUCUACAAGGGAUAUUGUCAAUGAAACCAUGUUCACUGAGCCAAGGAUUAUUGCUGGCACUUUUUCAGCAACUGGCUUGUGAUAUCAACAAGGAAACAAGUAGAAAGCUGGCAUGGAUGACUGAUGUAGCAGUUGCCAUAAUCCCAUCAGAUCCAACAAUUGCAGUGCAUGUGGUACCAAUCUUUAGGCAGGUGUCUCAGAUAGUGGAUCAUCUACAAAGCAUGUCCACUACAUCUGCCUCAGAAUCCGCCAGCAUCAGGGUUCUUAAGUUUGUCAUAAACAGUGUGUUAAGCGGUAAAUGAUUUUGUUCAAAUUUGCUAGAAUAUCUUCCUUUUUUUUUUCUUUUUUGUUUUUAAAUAUAGAAAUUUAGGUACUUGCAGUGGAAAGACAAAUGGGGGAUUAUUUCGUAUAUUCAGUUGUAUGUUCGAUUUUGUGUGAAAUAGUUGAGAGCGUAUUUACUUCUCAAUCUUUUUUGGUUUUGAAUUUUUUUUUUUUGGGUUCAGGUCUUUAUGGCUUGAAAAUUUUUUCAUAUUCAAUUUUAUUUGGGUUAGGUUAUUUUGGGUUUGAGUUUAUUUUUGUUCAGUUUCUGAUUUAUUUUUACGUUAAUUGUAAUUACAUCUACAAAAUUUAAGUGUUUACAUUUUAAUAUAAAUUAUUAAUUUAUUUAUCUUUAAACAAACUUUUGAUAUUUUCAAUUAUAUUUUGAUUAAAUCUCGCAAUUCGUUGUUGUUUUGCACCAAAAUGAUAUAAUUAAUUGACAAUAUAAAAUUAACUUUUAAAAUAAUUUAGGGAUGAUGAUUUUUGGCUCAGUUUGCAUAUCUUUUAUUUAUUUUUUACUCUCUGUUUUUUUGCUUGAUUUAACCUUUUAAUUUUUACCAUUUAAAAGUUGCCCAUGAUAAAAAUUAACCUUUCAUUAACUUGAUAUGGAUGUUUCGUGAAAUUUUCUUUGAUCACUUAGAUUUUCAUAUCAUAUAUGUAAUACCCAAUUUUAAGCCCGGGCUCAAAUAAAUAAACAUAAAAAUAAAAAACAAAAACAAAAAAAAACACAGUCCAUUUUUACAAAAAACCUAAACCCAAAUGAUCCAAUACCUAGCCCACUAACCUAAAGCCUAGCCUAACUACAGUGUGGCCCUCAGCAAAAACACAAUACAGCAGAAACCCUAAGCAGUGGCAGCAAAUUGGCGCCGCAGUAACCGCCCCAACGUCACCCCCACACGUUGCGCACGUCGCCCCGCACCCACCAUGCACGUUAUUCCUGCAAACGAACCACGGAUAGCACUAGAAUGACCGAAAAUAUAGCAAAAAUUGUAAAAAGAGAUUUUUUUUCUUUUUUCUUUUUUCUUCUUUCGGCUAUAAAAACUGAGGAAUACAUUUGUAAACCAAAAAAGAGGGAUAUCAAAAAAACAAUUUAAAAGAAUCAGAGAGCAGUUUGAAGGUUUUUUUUUUCCUUUUCUUUUCACUUCGAGUUUUUCUUCUUUUGUUUUUUUUUAUCUUUGUUUCAUACCUUUUUAUAAAAAAUAUAAUAAAAAGGAAAAGCGGCUUACCUGGUUUCGAGCGCCAUUCGCGGUGGCCUCACAGUGGGCACGACGGUGGCGGCAUGAAGGUGCUAGGGUCGAAACCCUAGCAGAGAACCCCCUCCCCUUUUGUUUUUUUAAAACAGAAAAAUAAAAUAGAAAAUUUUUAAGGGAAAUUUUUGUUUUUAAUAAUGUAAGCAAAACAGCGUCGUUCGGUGAGGGCAGGAUCCGCGUGUCGA
rnacentral:lncRNA from 1 species